AGCGCAUAAUCUACAAAUGGAAUCCCUAUUUUCCCAAAGAAAAAUGAGGGGUAGGGGAAAAAUAAAAAAGAGCGUGGAAGGCAUGGGAAAUUAAAGAAAAGUGGCUAAGAGCAAAGAAAAUUUUGAUGAAGCGAAGGGCGUUGCGUUCGAUACCAACUGAACUGACGGCUAAAACGGGAAGCUUUGCAAACUGGUGCCGUGAGGCACGCGGCACUCCGUAUUUCUUCUUCUUUUUUUUUUUUUUUUUUUUUUUUGCUCAGUUUAUUUUACAUGAGUCGACUCGUGGGGACAGAUUUUCAGAAGAUUAUAUGCAAGCAUGUGCAGCACGCUGCACGCACGUCAACCUGUGGAGGGAAAACUUGACGUUGGGCCGUACCAAGGGUCCAUCUGACAACGUACUUACAUUUCGUCAAAUAUAUUUUUUAUUUUUUAUUUUAAAAAUAAUGACUUCACACCCUUGCAAAAUCAAAGAAAUAAAAUUUAAUUUCAACCUAAAUUUUAGGCCACUUUUUACACUAAAUUUAUCACAUGAUCCAUACAUAGUUAUUUUUUUCUCUAUAAAAGGUAUAAUUUGGCUUAACUCAUAUUCAUUUUUACCUCUAAAAAAGUAAGAUUUAAUCCGAAUCAUAUUCAUUUUUUUCUUAAAAAAAAAAAAGAAAUCAAAACAAUUCAUAUUUAUUUUUAUCACUAAAAAAGAGGGAUCUAACAUGUUGUAUAUGAAAAAUAACUGCAUGCGAAUUAAAAAGAUGACGUGAUUUUACGCUAAAAAGUGACUGAAAACCUAUAUUGGAAACAAAUUUUAUUGACUUAAUUUUGUAUAAGAUAUAAAGUUACUCUCUUAAGAGUAGAGAACGAAAAAAUUCAUUUGAUAAAAUAUAACGAGCAUUUUGAACGAUUUUCCUAACUAAAAAAAAAAAACCUACAUGGACCCCGCGCUUUUACAGAAACUCAUAUUUGCAUAAUCACGCGUGACACUGACCUUAAACCUGAAUCAACUUGAUACAGUCAGCCUUCGGUUUUCCCUUCCGCUAUGGAGUUGACCCCGAGAAGAAAAAAGUCUUCCAGUGUUCAGGUUGGAAGCGGCAGGAGCAUGGCUACCUUCCCAUUGUUCUGACUGCCAACCUAAGCGAGAGUCAGAGAGGGCUUUGCUUGCGUCCAUAUUAUUUUCCCACGAUCGUUGUAGCAAAUUCCGUGGCCACUACUGAAAUACGAUAAGAAAAGCCACGGUCAAAUAAAGUUCAGAUUAGUCGAGAUUCCCACCGAAAGAGGGCUCUGCAUGUCUGCUUCAUAUUCAGAUUUAACAGGACCCUCCACAGCCUGCAGUAAUGUUUCAAUCACAGUAAACAAGACUCACCAAUACCGUAUAUAUAUAGUCAUAUGUAACUCAGGAACUCUUUGUAAGUACCGAAUGCCACGGUCUGCAAGUGUCAAAUUCAAGAGGAAUACCGAGAUUUUGCAAUUAGUGCAGAAAGCCGGUUGCUAGGUCAAAUGCGUGUCAAAACCGAUGCAUUCCAACUAAGCUACAAAAAUCAACGAGAGAUGUAGCCUAAGAAGUGGAUUCUUUCUCGUUGUAAGGCUGCAAACCACAUUCAAGCCUGAUCGCUGACAUAAGAUCGUGAGGUAUAGCAUGCGGAGUCCUACCCUCUCUGCCUGAAAAAGUAUCUCGAAUCUGUAGUACUUUCCCGGCUACCAUGGGUAGUUGGCUCUCCUGCUCCCCAACCCCUAUACAGUAUGACUUUACUUGGUUCUUGAGACACCAGCACAGCCCCAGUGGCUUGCUGUGAGGUUAACAGGAGUUAAAAACAGCCUCAAAACAACGAUUUAAUCAAAGCAAAUAUUAGCAAACAUCAGAAAUGAUUUCUGUAAAUUUCUGAAGUUAAAUUUAUCUCAAAGCUCAUUGCCGCAGAUACUUAAAACGGAUUUCAAUCACAAACCUCCAGCUUGAAGACCACCUCCUGGACAGAAGUCCCUUUGGCUCUGCUUUUACAUUCACUAUAGCAAGAGGGUACUUUUGGAAGCGGACCUUGAUUGCUUCAGCAAGUCCACUAACCUUGUUGCUCUUCCCUAAGAAAUAAGACCAUUUGUAAAAUACUUUAUGUUACCCAGCCAAACAGGUGAAACAGUUAAAAACAAACCUUCCAUCUCAAUCAAAAUAUAAAAGACUGCUACUUCUGUCUAUCUAUUGCGUCAUUUAGAAAGAAAAUUGCCUCAAGAAUUAUUUAGAACAGUUUGGCAGUGUAUUCAUGAGCAUUUACAAUUUCAAUAUACUAUUUCCAAUUCUUUAUUGGUCUACAGCUUUUCAGAAUAGCAUAUGCUGGACUCUUACACUGAUGAAAAACUAGUUAUCCACAUAAUGCUACAUUACGAGAUUCAUAUUUCUGAACACGUGUGUUCUAGAGUAGCCAGAAACCAAACUUGAGUGUCCAGAAACUACAGUCAAUCACAAAAUGGCAGAAUGUAAUCCACAGAGACAAAAAAAUGUCCAAACAACCAACGUGCAACAAGGUUUCACAACAUAAGGAACUGAACUAUAGGAGUCCCAGAACCACGGCCAAUGACAAAAUGACAGAAUGUGAUCCACAGAGACAACAAAUAUCCCGCAACUAACAUACGACAAAGUUUCACAACAAAAGGAACUAUAUCAGAAAUCCACAUGUUGGUGGCUGGAAAAGGGCCAAAUUUGUCUCAUCCAACAUGUAAAACAACAUUACUCUUGAAAUAGGGGUUUAUAGCAGAAUAUUAAAUCAAGAAAGAUACAAAAUAUAUUCGUAUUACCUAUGGCAAACACAUGAUGCUUUUUCAUCUUCAGCGCUUGUUUCCGCAAAAGUAGCCUGUCUCUAUUGGAGAGGCUUUUAGCUCUAACAAGUAUUGCAUUGCAGCCACUUUCCUUAACUACAUGAACUGAUGAAUCUAGCUCAGUUUUCAUGGAUCAGCAGGGAAUGCAUAGCUUUGGUGCCACCAAGUUUAGCCUCCAUAGUACCAAUAGCGGAAGUGCGUGUCACACCAAGUGUCUAAGAUAAAAGAAAAAAACAUUCAUAGAAGAUUAAUUAGGCUUGUACAACUCGACUCGAUUUAUUGACAGAAAAGGGAAUCAGGAGAAGAUGAGGGUGGCACAUUUCCACGAAUUCAAAAGAUCUUUAGCUUCUUUACUUGUACCUUUUCCCAUUUCAUUUAGAUAAAGGUUCUGCAUCUGCAUUAUCAAACUCAUAGCAAUGUUUUCAAAGUCAUCACUCAUAAAUUCCAUGUCACACAGUAUGCAGAGAGUUUGUUCAGCGAUUCAAUCCUAUAGUUCUGGUUAUGAAAAGAAACUAAAAUGAUGAAGGGAAAAAAAUUAUUGUGCACUAGGAAAUAUUUUAUAUUAAAAAGAAACGUAAUUAACAACAAUAUGGCCUACACUUCACACAUCCUGGGUGCAUGACACUGAAAUUGACUGACUUGGCAGCAGUACAAAUUAAGCUGCACUGAAAUUGCUGUAACCAUUAAAUAUGCUUGAACCUUCUGGAGAAAUUUUUUUUUUUUUUUUUAAAUUUAGCCUCUCUAGUUUAAUGCAGCACGAAUUCUCAUAUAAGUCCUUUACCUAAAGUAAGUGUUUUAUAUUUGUCAUACAACAAUUUCAGAUUCCAAAGCCAGUGAAACAAUCCAUUAGAUAGAUGAGCAUGAGGUUGACACACACUGGAUUAGCAUGGCCUUGGAUGAUGACAAAAAAUAUAUAGCUCAUUCCAAAACUCAAAAAGAGAAGGGAUCCUUUUUACCUGUUCAUUAUAAUGGCUCGUUGACAAUGAUUGGGGAGAGAGUUCAGGACUAGCAAGGGACAUUUUAUUUUUUGAUGAAUGGAACUUGUCUGGCUCCUGCUCUUCGUCCUGGAUCAUGAUUAAACUGCAUAUAUUAGCCCAGAUUUUGAAAUAAUCUUGCAACGGAAGAACAGUAUAAUGAGAUCUGAAAGGAAAUUCACCAAUUUGAGUUUUAAUUCUUCAGCCAAGUCCGUCUUGUUUGUACCCUUUUCUUUGGCCUGGAUCAAAUGAAUGAUAUGUAAUUUCCACCAGAAUACAGUCUAUUAGCUGCAGAAAACAAAUUAAGGCUCUGAAAUAAGAUAACCCACCAAUUGAAGCUUCAACCGAUCUAUAUUCUGUGUAAGCUUCAAAACAUGUAAUUUGAGAGACUGCAAUUCAUGCAAAGAGAAUAUGUGAGGCACAACGAGCAAUACUCAUAAUCAAAAUACUUGAUAACAAAAAAGCUGUGUUAACAGUGUCCUGUACCACCAUAGAAAAUUAAAGGAAGGAUAAUUUGGAAUAGUUUCGUGCUUUGUCUCACUACAUAUACAAAUGGAUGAAAUGAAAACCAGGGGAUAAACACAAACUUGACCUCACGACGUUGUGCCUCUAAAGAACGUUCAUUGCUUCUCUUUUGCUUAGAAGCGAACGAGGCCUCAAACAAGCAGGGCGACUGUAGUUCUUUCCACGAUAUACAAUGAUAGCAAAACUUUGCUAACCCGUUCAACUGCUACUAAAAUUCCGCCACUUUCUGCCUCCAGUGUUCGUGCUCUUGCAGUGACCUCCUCAAUACUUCUUCCCCCGGUUAUAAUCUUCACUAAUUCUCUGUAUUUCCAGUGAAGAUGCAUAUUUUCGAUUGUUCCAUCAAAUACUCCUCGUCUUCCUGAGCAUGAAAGAGAGAAAUUUACAAGGAUGACAUGAGGCCAGAAACACACACUUUUGGCUUGCCAAUGUCAUUCUUCAUCAUAGGGUGUAGUAAGCAAGCACUUCCUUUAGCACUUACCCAGAAGCAGGAAAGGUUUCAUUCUCAAGCCAAUUUUUCUCAGCAUAUAUCGUUCUUCUUCUGUAAUACCUUCUUUAUCAACUUCUGGCUCUUGGGUGGUCUCUUCCUUCUCCAGCUCUACAAGAAGCUUCUCUGCCAUGUCUUUCUUCACUAGUGCCUGUAAGGCUGUAAAAGAUUAACAUGUUUGGGAAAAUAGACAAGUGACUGGAACAGAUUUUGAGGUAGUAUUACAUAACAUGCCUUGGAUAAUUUGGCACUAGUUCUCUCAAUUGCUGCUUCUGUUGAGCUUCGAUGCCUUCGCUUGGAGCAAGUUCAAGUUUCUGGUCCUCUUUACCAUUAUUUUCAUCUCCAUUACAAUUUUCUGAGGUCCCCAGCCUUUGGUCUUUUGAGCUCACUGUAGUAAAACUUUUGUCUGCUCCCUUUUCUUCACCAUCAAGCACAUAGUUCCUCCGCUUUUCAAUUGCUAAAGAGACUGCAGCUGGCAAGAAAUCCUUUCCUCUGUACAGGACAAUGAAUUCCUUAUCUCUUGAAAGCAAGGUUCCCCCAGUUAGGUUCUGCAAGAGUAUAGUUUCAAGUAAAUAUAUGUCAGUGCAGAAGAGUUACUGGCAGUUACAUGUUAGUCCCCUGAUAAAACAGAGCCUAGACAGGAACGACAGAAGAUCUCUUAAACCCAUCUAGCAGACCUUUAGUUCCUCAGCCAUCAAUUCACUGUUGGUGUUCUGGACUCCUCUUUUAACAGCAAUUUUGGCAAUUUCACAUUUCUCCCAUAGCUUAAUAAUUGCAGCAGCCAAGCCCUGAAGUUUUCUAUUUCUGCCUGAAACAAAGGAAAUCGGUAUAAGUAAUAAACUUUGACUAGUAACUAUGCAAUGCUUCCCAAUUUACAAAUCACUCACCUAGGGCAAAAUGGCAUGGUAAAGGCCGACCAAGUCUCCGUAAAAAUGUCAUUUCAUCAUUUGUUAAUAUAGGUUUCACUCCAUAAGGAAGCAGACGAAAUGGUCUCCUAUAUCCAGGAACUGCUGCUGGUAAAAAAUCAGCAUCAACAGGUAAAGGUUCAUACCCCACCAAUCAGUAAACCGGGGACCAAGUCCUUCUAACAGGCGAUCAGCCUCUUCAGCAAGUUGUGCCUCACCAGGCAGUUGGAAUCGUACUCUAUUUGGAGUUCCUACACCUUGUAUUAGAGGUGGAUGAGACACUUUGCUGAGUGACUUAGGUACAGAAGAUCUCAGGGCAUUCCCACCAGAUGAAGAAGCCUUCUUUUCAUUAUCCUCUCUGUAAUCCAUCCGAAAAUCAACUGAAGCUUCUUCACGCAAAGAGCCAUUUGCUGUAUUAUCAUCAGAAAAGAAAUAGGGUACUUGUAAUCAGCUCCUCUGUAUAGCACUAUGUUAGUUCCAGAUCUCCAAACUACUAAGCCUCCAGUCUUCAUCUGGUAAUCCAAAUCACCACACCACACCCAAAAGAAGGAAAACAGGUCAGAUUACGUAACGUUGCAGAGGAAGAAACACAAUUGAAGUGAAUUAUGGACUUCUGAUAGUAAGUACCAAUAACUGUUAAAAAAGACCAUUUGCAGUUAAAUAUGCUUCAGCACAUACCAUGAAGUCAAGCCAUAGUAAAUGCAAACUAAUAAUGGGCACGUAAUAGGACAUGAAAAUCUCAUUAAAACCCAAAUAUUACUGGACAAAUUUGCCUUACAAUAUGUCGUUUGAAGGGUUCAAAUAUAACUAGCAGCUGUUUUUCACAAAGUGGUUAGAGAAACAACUUCAAGCGUAACUAGCAGCUCUACUUAAACUUGAUCUUCAAACAAAGUUUUUACAUUGGAAGCAAGAUAUGCGAAUGUAACUACAAUCAACAUACAAUUGUAGAAUUGGGGAAAAAAAAGGACAUUAACAAUGAGAUCUUACCUCUAACAACUCAUGAGUCCUCUUCAUAUUCAUCCUACAGAUAUCCUCACACCUGAUCUUGACCACCUCAUACCUCCUCCACCUCUCGUGAAUCCCAUUCACAAUCCCUUCCGUGAUCCCGGCCUUCCCAACCUUCAACUUCUUCUGCAACCGAAUACCAAGUGUCCUCAGCCUCCUCAGCUCCCCUCCGGCAAAUUGAGCUCCGCCAAGGUGGGCACUGUCUCCCUUUUCUUCCUCUCCUCAAUCCUCUCCUUAAUCACGCCCCUCCUCAACUGGUGAUACUUCUGAAUCGCAUUCCCCGAGCCGGGUAAGGGGACGGGUUCUGGGGCGUGCUCCAACUCGGGUCAAGAGUGUGCCCGACCCGGUACUUCGGCAACUGGGAAGGCAACGGAACAAAGAUUUCGCCCGGCGAGGCCCAUUCUUUGGAAGCUUAUCUUCAUCUUUGUUCUCAUCCUUAUCAUCUUCGACGUAGCCGAGGCCGCGAAGCUUUUCGGCAAUCCUUUGGAUGGCGGAUUGGGGUAGAGUUUCAGUGUCGCCAGUGGCAGUGGCAAUGGCAGUGGCGGUGGCUCGGCAGAAGAGCGGUUUCGGAGGAGAGACGCCGUACGUGGUAGGUGGGUUUGGGAAGGUGACGGAGGAAGGUAGAAAGGGGUUAAGGAGGGGUUUGGAUUUGGCGGGGGAAGUAAGUAGAAUUGAUGGUUGCCUGUAUAUAGGGCCAUUUGGAGUAGCAGGACACUAAGCCGUUAACGAGUUCUUGAGGUUGGAAUGCAAUAAGCUUUUUAUCGGCUCACCAGCCAUUGCCAUUGCAGGACCGAUAUCUCUACGGCAAUAACUUUUUAAGUUCUCUGUAUAUUAUCCGGUUGAAUAUUUCAUUUUCAGGCGUUUUCUAUAUCUCCUCUCCGAAUGUCUCCGCCAGAUUUUCAAAAAAUUUGGUAAGUGAGAAGUCUUAUUUUAUAAUUCUAACGUUUCCGGAAAAAAAAAAAGAGAAGUCUUAUUUUAUAAGCCGACAAUCAGAACUACAAAAUAUGUGUGUUAUUAUCGUGUUCAUAUCUAUAAUUAAAAUUCUUUCCAUUAUCACUUGAAUAAACAUACACAUAUGCAGCGAUAUGGAUUAAGAUUUAAGAUUAAUCUUUCCUACACUGCACUGACCGUCAGUAUUAGAUGGAUGAUAACUAUACAAAAUUUGAAUUUAAAAUUUAACUUUUAUAUACAUGUCAUUAAUCUAAUAGUGAUAGUACAUGCGCUGUCAGUGUAUAUAAGAUUUACUCGAAAAUUUAGAAAGAGAUAUAAUUAGACAGAGCAGUUGUUUGACAACAGGCAACACCAAAACUCGAAAAAUCAGUUUAAAUAUGAUAAAUAAUCAGGAAACACAUCACUACUCAAAAUUUUCUAGCAAUUAUGAAAAGUUGUUUGAUACGACUGAAUAAUAAAUAAAUAAGGUUGCUUUAAUAACAGCAAACUUUUGAAUUACCACAUUGCCAUUUUCUAGUAUUUUUCACAGUCCCAAGUUACCAACAAUCUCGGUACAAUUAAAUGGGUUAAUUACAAAUCAGAGGGGGCCAAAGACCCACAAAAGUGAGCACUUAAACGCAGAUGUAUAAUAGACAUAGAAAUCCCAAAUUUUCAAUUUUUUUGGUGUUAUCCACAGCUAAAUUUAAAAUUGCAAUGUCGCAACAUUUUUAGCUGUUAAAAUUAUCCUGCCAGCCAACCGUUUAGAUGUCGGUUAAAAGUAACCUGGCGCGGCAGUAUGUAAAAACAUGUGGGGCCGCAAAUAUAUCUAUAGCUAUUUGGCAGCAAACAAAAUGGUUGGAGUUGAAAAGAAAUGUUCUCUUAUUUUUGCUUUUGUGCAUGCAAUAUUGCCAUCUAUCAACACUAGAAAUGCAAUUCUUUCCUCUGAUAUUCAUUCUAUUUCCCAAGACAAUGGGCAGAUGCACAUUGUUAAUUUACAGGAUCGUACGUAACACAUUUACAAAUGAAUUGGGAACCGGUGUACAGAAGAUCCACCCAGAAACUGAACGCUUUCAGCACAGCCAAACCGAUCGGAUCAGGCCAUUAUUAAGCAGAUAACUACUCAUCAGAAACUGAACGUGACUUUAUUCCUGCAAAUGCAAGAAAUCCAUGCUCAAAAUCAACUGAUAAAGAAGACAAUCACUCGCUCUCAUAUCCUAUGGGGCUAUUUCAUAUAAAGGAUUUCUUUUGCAAGAUGGAAGCACUUGAAGGCAAUCAUAUUUAUGAUCAAACACUCACAUGUCAGCUUGCAAAUAUUGCUCCACAGUGAGAGGUUUAGGGCCGCCGAACCAAUUGAUCAUAAAUAUAUCAUAAAUUUCCAGCUCGAAGAACUGGAAAUUAUGACCCUUAGGCCAGCCUGCAUACCAUUCAAUUAAAACACAAUUUGCAGGUAGUUCUCACGAACAAAAGCAAUACAGCAGCAGGAUAAAGAUUUUCAAGGCCAAACUAAGUAAAGCACAAGGACAACGCUGUUUCAAACAUUUAUAAAGAAAAAACAAGCUUGCCUGUCAUUUCAGGGUGCUUAGUGAACAGCGCAGUUUGAGCAAGCUCAGCUUCCUUGGAAUUUCCGUCAAGUAAUGUCAACUACACACCACAAACGCAAAGGUUAAGUCAGGAUGAAACUGAACGAUGAAUGUCAUACAAGUGAGAAAGGCAUUACAAUACAACAGCACACCAGAUAACACAGCCAUAUUGUAAAUUCAAGUGAGAAAGGCCUCCUAGGAAUUAGUAAAGCCACCAGGUCUAAUAAGUUCAAAAUUUUCAGUUAAUUGAGCUAUUACCUUCCCUACAAGUGUAAUUUUUGCCAAGAAGGGUUCAGGGUCCUUGGUACCACAAGUCCGAUGGAUGUUCACUAAUUGUUAAGGAAGAUCUUUGGUCUUUCAAAGCAUAACGUGCUGUUGGAUCAAGUGUCGUCAAAUAGAAAUAUGGGAUGCCACUUCCUUUGUCUGGUUGCCCAUCACUAAAUGAACCACAUUUGUGGACAAUACAGACAAGUCAAUUUAUGACCACAAGGAAAAACAGAAAAAGGAUUAAAAAUAAAAUAAAAUUGCGUAUCAGGAGACCAAUAAUAACUUGUAUCUGAAAAGAAAACAAGAAGUUGAAACCAAGCUUUUAAAGCUCUGUUAAGCGCAUUUCAGUACAUGACACAAUGUUCUGCAUUGUGCCAACCAGAAGUUUACUCAGGUUAGACGAUGCGACCAACUCAACUCAAUCAGGACACAGCAACACACACUUCCUUCCAGGCUAAUAGAAGAGUUGCAACCCUUAGAAAAGUCUUUAAACAAUAAGUCUAAUCUCAACAAGAAGUUGGGAAAGUACAAGUCAAUUUUUAGCAUAGUAUUUAAACUCCAGAUAAUCUCAUAAAAGUGACAAUCAAAGUGAAGAAGUUUCCACGUGUAAAAGCAGAUUCUUUUCUAUUCAUGACAAUCCUCAGAUGACAUAACGAAGCAUCAGGUUUAACCUACCACAAUCAUCACUAGAUCAGAUCAGAGAUUUCUUUCGCCUCAAAAUUUCUUCUGUACAAAUAUCACAAUUUCUUGCAAGAAAUUACUUGUACACAGUCGCCAAAUAAGGAGGUAGAAAGCAAUAUUAUAUGACAGAUCAUACCCAAAAGGUGCUCCUCCCAAAUCACUGGCUAUGGUACUGCAAAAAAAAUAGGAGGGAGUAAGAUAAGAUCAUCUUCAACGUCUGUUUAGACAAUAUUUAAGAUCAACAGUAAUGAAAGAGGAGUUAUCACUUGCCUAACAUGAAAACUUCAAACGGGUAAACACGUAUAUUAAACAACGAAAAACUAUUUGGUUCAGUUUCUUAUCAUCAUUUCAAAUUUAUACCAGUAAACCAAUGUUCUUGACAUCUUUGCAAGCUUCAUCCACAUAGUUGUCCACCAAUUUGACCUUUGCAUUGGAACUCGCAUAAGUAACAGCAAUCGAUGCUUAACAGGAAAUACAACUUUUUUCUCCAUCAAAAAUGUUCUCCACGAUUUUUUACUAUACUAUGAGGGGGUGUUCGUGUCUUGAUCAAAAGGCUUUCCUUUUCAAUCUUUUGCUCUCCUCAAAAGGUGAUAAUGUGAUGUUCAGAUACUUGCAUUACCUCUACAGUUUACGUAUAUGUGAAGAAUUUUCAGCUAAAACGCUGUUUAAAGUGAUCCUUCCUGACCCAGCCAGUUCUUGGUAAGGUAGCAUUUAUUGCAUAUGAUGAAGUAAACAAUGGCCUGCUGUGACUCUUGCCGGUUGAGAAGUAAGUUUGGUAAGGAAAACAGUCUUAAAUCUUCACCUCUUACAAUCAAUAGAAGCAAAAACACAUAAGAUGUGAGCCCUGGCAAUUUGAAGCUUUUACAAAUUGUCGGCAAUUACAUGAAAAUUUCCCAAGUACUGAUAUACAAUUCCAAAGCAUUUUGGAAUUAAAAGGAGCCUUUCGUUUAUGUUACCCUAUAAUUGUAAAAUUAGUGACAGCCAAAUUAUUCAAGUCUGAUGUGAGUUGAAUCAGUCAAAAACAACACAAAGCAUCUUCAAAAGGUCAAAAUUAAAAUAAACCGAAAACAACUAGCAUAAUCCCCAUAGGGAUGUGCAAAUCCCCAACAAAAAAACAUCAUAACGACUUCUGAGGAAUGGGAGAUGGGAAUUGCAACCACAUCCGAAAAAAGUUCCAGGCAGCAAAAUUUGAAGGACGCAUUCGUUAACUAAGACAGAUUGAUAGAUAUAAUAGAUAUUAGACCUUAGAACACCCCAGGAGCUCUGGCAGACCAACCAACGAGCGAAAGCAGCAGUGUCCUUCGGGCUGGGCCUGGUUACCGCUGUGAGUUGUUGCAGUUGCAGAGGCCGUCCCAGUACGGCUUUCUGAAGCAAUACCACCACCACCAAGAGCAGCACCACUCCAUGGCAUUGACCCCUCUUUGUACUCCCUUCAUUCCUAUUUAACUUUCAAGGGGAAAAGGGCAAAAAUAAACUGAAAAGCAACGCCAGUAAUAACCAAAGGAGAUGAUUGAAUGACGAUGGAAUAUAUGUGGUUAUUAUAGCUGCCGUAUGGAGACAGGCACAGCAAUUAUCAAUUACUAUGCCAAUAAUUCCUCUAUUUAAUUUAAUUUAUCCAUUAAAACGAAAACAAACACUUAUUUCUUUUUCAUCUUUCGGAUUCUACAUCUUUUUUUCACGAGUAUCAAAAAAGAUGGUGGCACCAUCAAUGAUCAAUCAAAGAGGAAUGGGCGCGGACUCGGGGGUGGGUGCUGUUUUGAUUCCUAUCCAACUGGUGGUGCAAUGAUAGAAGAAGACUUUUGGAUAAGAUGUUCCCUUUGUCUUUUUCUUUUUCUUUUUCUUUUUUUCACGCUGCACUCGCUCCUACUUUACUGUAUACUAAGAAGAGGGAUGAAUUAGAUUUUAUGCUAGACUCACUCCUAAUUUACUCUACACGAGGGCGGGGGUGGCUGAAUCGCCACUGGUCCAGUCCAGAUGGGUAACCACUUACCCGCCGGUGAAAUUUCAAAAAAUUCUGAAUUAAAUGUAGGUCAAAAGAUUUAACCUCUUGAUUGAUAAGAUGCUCAUUUGUCGAGAAUUUUUUUGCUGUUUGUUUCUAAGUAGUGCAGCACCCAUCUCCUUAUGCUACUUGCGGUAAAUUAGUACUCAUUUGGUUUAGGAAUUUGAUUAUAGUUAGAGCUAAUAGUCUCAUUUGACACACAAUUCUUCUUUUGGAUUCAUCUAUUUUUCAAAAAUAAGUUUUUCAAAUACAAUAUUACAAUAAUAUACAAACAAAAACAAUUCAAAACAUAUUUCAUUCAUACAAUAUAUUAAAUAUUUCAAAAAAUAUCUAUAGUAAAAGUUUUUCAUAUACACUGUUACAGUAAAAUAUUUCAAAAAUAUCCUAAAAAAAUAAUUAAUCCAAACGGAUAUGAUACUGUAAUUUGGAAAAAAAAAAUUCACAUAUUAUUGUAUUUGUAUCAUAAACAUAGCUUUCAAUAACUUUUUUGUCUCAUGUAAUCACAUCACAUCACAAAAAAAUGGUACAAUGCUAUUCUAAAUAAUUUUUCCCCAAAUAAUCUUCUAUCCAAACACUUUUUUUACUUUUUUAUUGAUUUUGUUACAACAAAAUAUUUUAUUUUUCUCAACUAAUGAGCAUUGGUUAAUAUGACAAAGUUAAGUUAAAUCAACAAAUUAUCUAAAUACAAGGGCAGUAAAUAUAAUGUGAAGUAAAAUGGUAAAUUUGAUAUAAAUAUAGAUUUACCGGAAUGGCAGUUAAAAGUUCACCUUUUAUAAGAAUAAGAUUAGCAGUUACAACAGCUUAUCUCACUUAAAUGAUUUUGUUUGUUUUGAGUACUUGUGACUUGUAACUGGAUAGAAAAUAAAAAAGAAGUUUUAUUUAAUAAAUCUACUCUCUAAUUCACUUAUAAUAAAUUCCUCAUCAUACCAAGUUAUAGCCAUUUAUUAAUUGAACAAACCCAAGUCUAGUAUGUAUUAGGGUCUGUAUAGAUUAAAUAUAUUUAAGGGUGUUUCUUGAAAAUUUUUACUAUAAUUUUGUGUAUUAAAAACUUUCACUGUAGAUAUAUUUUGAGAGUGAUUUUAAAUUUUAAAACUUCUAUUUAGGUGUUUUAAAAAAUUCCAUUCAUCCUUCCUACCAUAAUGCCUUAUACCCCCUAUCUAAACCCCUCCCUUGUAAAACCCCUUCCCUUCUCCUUAUUUCAUUUUCCUUUUCCACCUCUCCUCUCUCUUUUCCUAUCUUACUAUAUCCCCUCCUUCCUUCCCUCCCCUUCUUUCUCCUCUUUUCCCUCAUACCAUUUCUCCUUUUGUCGCAAAGAAAUGUGGGAUAUAAAAGAAAGAAAGGCAUGAGGAAGGAAAAAUGAGGAAAGAGUGGACAAAAACAUAGGGAAAGGAAUCGGAGGACCAAAACGAGAGAAAGGAGAGAAAGGGGAAAAAAAUAGGGCGGAAAAAGGGGGUAGAGUAGUGGUAGAGAAGGAGGAAGUAGAAUAGAAAAGGGAAAAAAAAGGGUUAAAGGAGUGAAGGGAUGAUGGUGGUGGAGGCGCGGCGAGGAGGCAUUAAAGGAAAAAAAAAUAGAUAGUGAGUUUUUUCAAUUGUUUUCUUAGUAUUUGUAGUAAGUGUAUUUGAGAUGUAUAUAGAGUUUUUUGUGUGUGUCUUAUUGUAAUAUCACAUUUGAAAUAUUAUGUUAAGAAAAAAAAAGCAAAUCCAUAAAAGACAUUUAGAAAUAUUGCAUAUAAUUUUCUUCAAUUCGAAUGGAAUACUAUAUAGAUUAAGUAAAUCUCAAUAUCUAUACUCCAAUUAAAAUUUUCCAUAUAGAUUUUUUCCUUCUUAAAGCACUAUGAGUAUUUUUAAAAUAUGAAAGCAAUUCUAUCUUUCAUAUGAUAUAGUUGAUGUAUACGUAUUUAUUAUUAUUAUUAUUAUUUUUGUUGGAUGAUAUGAGUCUACCUAAAAGACGAAAAAAUGUGUUUUUCAAUUCUCUGUCUAUUUUUUAGAGUAUAUUAACAUGAUAAGUUAGGUGUAAUACUUAGAUGUCUUAACGAGUGUUAUAAGGUCACCCACUAAAAAAGUCAUUUUUACAUAGCAUGCUUAGUUUAAGCCCUUCACAAUUUCACCAAUGUGUCAAGAAUAAUACCUUAUUGUGUGUAUAUAGGUUAUGGAGAGUAAUUAUGAUAGCUUGGCAUUGCUCUGAAUUAUAGGACUCGUUAGGCAUAAUGGAUAAUCUAGUAUUUAAAAUCUCUAGAAAUAUUUCCCACUUAGCCUUAUCUUUGACAAUUUCUAGUAUUUAAACAUCCAAAAAAUGGCAAUCAGUGACAUUCAGUUUAGUUUCCACACCUUCCCAAAUGGGGAUGAUAUUUGCAAUUACAAGCUUAUAACAUAACAAGCGAUUUAAGCUGCAACCUCAUUUUUGUAUUAAAAAUCUCUCUCGUACAUAUAGAAAAUAUUUUGGAGUAAUCUCCAAAAUCAACGACCAACAAGUUGGUCAUAAUGAAAAGAGCACAUUUUUAGUCAUAAAAAUUUUACUAAGUCUAUCAAAGUAGAGAUAUAAAUGUAAAAUCAAAAUUUGCAUAAUUCAAAAGAUAAGAAAGGGUCUUCAACCUAGGGUUGCAAACGAGUCGAGCUCGAACUCGAACUCAAAAUAUUAAGCUUGUUAGCUCGCGAGUCGGCUCGCGAGCUCGAGUAUAUAUAUAUAAUAUAUAUUUUUUUUUAAUUUUAAGUAUAUAUAUAUUUUUAAAUUUUAAGUAUAUAUAUUUUUUUAUUUUCUUAUUUUAAUAGUAAAAUUAUAUAUAUCCUUAAUAUUUUAUUAUUUAUUAAGAAAAAAUAUUAUAUUAUUUAUUUUUUAAAAAAUAAAAUAAUUAUUUUUUUCGAGCUCGACUCGAAUCGAUUCGAGUCGAACUCGAGCUUUCAAUUUGCUGGCUCGUCAAACUCGAGUUCGAGUUUGAGUUUGGUAAAAUUUAGUCGAGACUUGGCUCAAUUAACCCAAAACUCGAUUCGACUCGACUCGUUUGCGACCCUACUUCAACCAUACUUAAAUUUCUAUUUUAGUUUUUCAACAUAAAUAGAUAACAUGGCAACUCUAUUCAGCUAGAAUUUUCGUCGUCCUCUCACGUGCCCGGCAUGUGGAUUGGAAGCAUCAUGUUGUUCGCGCAUCGCGCGUUAGCUUCCCAUCUGGUCUCGCCUGCCAGUACCCCAUGUGCCCGUGUUUCCUUCUUUUAGUUCUUCUACUGCAUUUGCUCUCUUCCCGCUGCCUUCUCUCUCCCACUACAUUCUCUCUCUUUCUUUUUUUGGACAAUGUUGCUCUGUCACUUGUCCACAUGCUCUGGAACCUGGUACAAAAGUUUGUUGAGCUAUCCAGUUCUGUCAAAACCAUUGUCUUCUUACCGCCCAAGGAGGUGCCAUCUUCACUGUGGGUCGCAGCGGUCCAGAUCCUUUGCGGUUCGUUUGGUUCUCCUCCUCCUCCUUCGUUGUAAGUUUUCUUCUUCCUAUCCAGUGAGAUGCGAUCUUAGCUGUAGGUUUUCUCUGUACAUUUUAGGCUAAAGUUCAUAUGUUUUGCCCUUUAUCCGGUGAGGUGCAAUCUUCUAUUUUUGCUCUCCGGAGAGGCACAAUCUUAGUUUUGGUGAGUUGUCCGUUUAGAUUUCUUCCGUUCUGCUUGCGCUGUGUUUGGGAACCGUGUGAUCUUGUGGUUAGAAGAACAAGAAAACAAAAAGAAAGAAGUUGUCGAAAGAUUCGGGAGGACCGAACAACAACUUCGACCUUUCCCAGGAAGUGCUAGAAGUACUGCCGCCGGAUCCAUUUGAACGGCUGGAUGUUGCACGCAAAAUCACCUCCACUCUUCCCUCGAAUCAGAGGCAUCUGUUCUCCGUCACAAGCUCACCGAGAAGGACGCCAUCAUCGCCGACCUUCAGUCCCAGCUUCAGUCUCUCGAUGCCCCCUUUUCCGACGCUUCCGACAAACUUACCCUCGCUGACCAAGAAAAUGUCCGAUUCUUAUAACCAACCCGACCCACUUGAACCGUUUUACUUCUCCAAUUACUACUUAUAAGUUAGAGCUAUAGUUUUCUUCUUCUUCUGCUUCAUCGUUCUAAUUAAUUGAAUAGGAGAAAUUGUUGAAGGAGAAUGAGACGCUAUUGAACACUGUGAAAAAGCUUAACCGCGAUGUUGCUAAAGCAAUUGACAGUAUAUAAUGGUAAAUUUUAGUUUUUUCCCCCCUUUGAGGUAAGCUUAUUGCGUGGUAAAAAUUUUGUGGGGAUUGAUUACUUUUACUUGAUUUUAGUUUUUGUAGUUCUUUUCUGCAGCUAAUGUUUGUCAUUUUAAUUUUAAUUUGGUCAUAUGGAAUGUAUACUAUUAUUAUUUUUGGGACUGAAUUUACUGUUUUCAGCUGCUCUUGACUUUUAAUUUUGAUUUUGUUCCUUUAUGAUGCUCACGUUAUUACAACUCUAUUACUAAUACGUGGCCUUAGUGAAUAUAAAAAAAUGGUCCAAAGUUUUUUCUUUUUGGUUUUUUGGGUUGGCAUAAUUCUUAACUUCAAAAAGACUGUGUUAAAAUGACUUCAGAAUUCUGAUGAAUUUUGUUUGAAAGAAAAAUGGCUUUGGUUAGCAAUGUGAUUAAUUACAAGAGGUUAGGAGUUUGUGGGUCAAAAUCGAGGUAAUUUUGUUAUUUGCGAACUUAAUGGAAGAGAAUAUUUUCAUAUGACUGCUUGUAGAGUCGGUAGAUCCAUUGAGCUAAUAAAUCACGCCAUUUUUUUUGGGGUUGCAAAUGAUUACCCAAAAUUUAUCAUUAUUUAAAAGAGAAAUAUAGUUCAAAAUAAAAAAGGUAAAAGAUCCUAGGAGCAGGAAUUCCCACUUCAUAUCAAAUUAAAAUUGGCAUUGAUUCUAAUCUAGAACGUUGUCAAUUAAUCUGCUGUUUCGCCUAUGUUAUUAGAAAACUCUAUGGCUUCGCGCGUCCAAAAAAUGGCAUACUUAUUAUCUUUUAAAGGCUUUUCUGUGUCUUUGUCUUCCUUGUUCGCAUCUGCUGUUUGAUGCUCUGGACAUUUGCGCGUCUGUAACGCUUAGGCUGCAUUUGUGCUGUUUUGGGGCUUAGCCUUUGAUGCAGAGUUUGGUGUUGUAAUGUUUACACGGUAGGCUGCUUUUCUAAAAUACAUUUUUUUUUUACACUUGAUUUUUUUUAAAUUUUUUUGCACCACAUUCUAGCCGUCAUCUUGCAAUAUCUUAUUCUUUAUUACAAUAUCUUUACUUUGCUGUGUGAUUUUUUCGAUAAGCACAGGUAUCAUUAUGCAUAGUUAUUAUAUAUUUGGAGAUACUCAGACAUCAUAUAUCUACUUAAUCUUCUUAUUACAAUCAAAGUGGAUGGUUGCACGAUUAGUAAUUAGUAUGUUACUAUAUUGAGUGAAAAUUUUGAGCUUUUCCAUGUAUGUUGUUUAUCUUAUCCUUGAGCUUUCUUUCAUACAGGAAUUGCUUUGCGUAUCAUCUACUUGUCUGUGGCUGAUGAGGUUGUCAGUUUGAUAAUCUACUUGUAUUAAUUCUGUUUUUUCUUGCAGGUCAUAAAUUUUGAGAUGCCUCAAAGUGCUGCGAGAUAUGUACAUCGAAUUGGACGUACUGGAAGAGCGUAUAACACUGGUGCAUCUGUCUCUCUGGUAAUUUUCUAAAGACUAAGUUGGAAUUACUUUUGUAACUGAAUUUAUUCCCUGACUUCCAGAUUGAAUUUGGCUCAUCUUCAUUUUUUUGCAAGCAGAACUAAUGAACAGUUGGAUUGCUUGAAUAUUGACUGGAAUCUUCGGUAAAUCAUUGGCUCAUAUAUAUCCAUGUUGUAGAAGUUCUAUCAUCUUUCGCAAUCAUGGUUUUGGUUUUCAGUUUUUUCUUUGUGUUUAUUGCAUACUGAAAUAAGCCUUUUGUUUUUUAUAUCAAAUAUUGGAUUGUGCUAUAGGUUUUGCCCUUAUUUUUUGCUGUUCUUUUUUAUAUUAGAAUUCCUAAUAUAUGUUAGCACAUGAAUACUGUCUCCCCUAAUAUGAUUAAAGUGAUUAUGGUAAUGCAUUUAAAAUUAUUGUGAUCAUUUUCUUAUAUGUUUCUUAUCUCCCUCUUACUUUAUCUUGAAUAGGUGUCCCCUGAGGAGAAUGACAUGUUUGAAGAUAUUAAAUCCAUCAUCGGUGAAAGUGAUAACAUGGACUCCAAUUUUAUAGCUCCAUUUCCAUUGCUCACUAAGAAUGCUGUGGAGGGCUUGAGAUAUAGAGCUGAGGUAAAUAUUGCCUUCCUUUACUGCACAGUAAGUUGUAACUUUUUGAACUUAUUAUGCGUUAAGCAUCUCUUUAUGCUUACUUUGCUUCUGUGGUUCUUAAAAAAAACCGUAUGGCGUUUGCCUCGAGAUAUUGAAACUUUUGUGCUGUGUUGCUGUUUUACUCUGUGCUUUUUAGCCUAGAGUUGCUAUGUUGCUAUUUAUACGUACCGCUUCAGUUAGAGCUUUGCUUCUUCGGAUAGGUGUGGGGUUAUGCAUUAUUAUUUUGUUUUGACUCUAAAAAUUAUAUAUUAAUUGCCUUUUGUAAUUAAGCCACCGCACCUAAUUGCCUUAUCUGUUGCCAGCAUAAUUUUUUUUUUUAAACUGAAUUUGGAUGCUUACUGUUGCAUUACCAACUUUUCAAUUCUGUUACACAUUUGGGCUAUACUUUGUUAGUGUUGCAGGGUAUUAGCCUAAACCUCCGGGUUGCUGAUGCUCUUGAUGGAAAGGAAUUGUUGUGCUAUGUUAAAUGUGCUCCUGAUUUCAUUAGAGUAACUGGAAUCAGGUUUACGAUUGUUACGACUUAUUGGGUUGGAGAAACUGCAUAUGUGGCCGUGUAAAAUGUGUCUUUUCCUGAUGUGACAUGCCUCUUUCCGGCAUCAUAUCUACCUUAGAAGUUGCCGAAUUAGUAUUUUCUCUGAAAUAUAUUUUUCCCAUGCUUUCCUUCAAAUAUGUUUUUAUUCUCAGGUUUUUGCUUCAUUAUUAUAUGUACUUUCUGUGGUGAUGAUUCAUGAUUUCAAGCAUGUAUUCGUCACGAUUUACUUGUAAUUGAUGCACAUACAAUUCAAUAAGGAUUUCAAAGGUUAUGUGGCUAUGAAUGAGCAUUUAGCUGAAGUUUGCAUAUUUUGAUUGUGGAACGGAUUGUCCGUGUAAUUUAUUUACCUUACUUUUACUCAACAGAAAGAACUUGCUCAACUUACUUGUGAAUGUGAAAGACAUAUUGGCACACAAUCUGGCGGAAUGGAACAGGUAAUGAUUUUCUGCUCUUUCCUUGCUUGUUCCUUGAAGCUCUGAAGUAGCCUCUGCAAGAUUUCUGCAGAAGCAUAAUUUUUGUUUCCUUUUUUUUGGAUUUACCCUUGUCCUUUGCUUCUCGUGUUUUGUCCUUGUGUUUUGAUCAUAUGUGACUUCUUUGUACAUUUUUUUACAAGUUUUUUGCUGCAAUGGCUCUUGAAUUGACUUGCUUGGUGAAAAUUUUUGUGUUACAUUUUAUGUCCCUAUGAUUUAGUUCUAUCCAUUUGUGAUAUUUCUUUAUGUCUGUUUUCUUGAUCUGAUUGCCUGAUUCGUUUUUCAGUAUUAUUCGUCUUCAUUCCAAUGGGAGCUCAUUGCUCUAAAUUAGGCUUUUGCUGAUGGCCUUCUAACCUCAAAUCCAACAUCGCUUAUUCCUCUGAUUUUGGUAAUUCUUAAAACUCUUUUAAAUGUAUAAAAAUGUAAUAUUUGUUUCCCUUUUCUUAUUUUUUUUUCUUCUGGGGUUUUAGAGCAACGUGGAGAAAAUGAGAGUAUGAAACUGCCAUCAUUUAAAGAAUGCAGUUUAGAUAAGCUGAAGGUGGCGACUGCAGGAUUCUCAGUUGAAUACAUUGUACCAGAACAUGGAGAUAAAGCUCCCAAUGUUGUCUACAAAGGGCAGCUUGGACAUGACGGCUCUUAGAUUGCUAUCAAACAUUUCAAUAAGUUUGCUUGGCUGGAUUCUCGGCAAUUCCUGGUUGUUAUUACCUCUUUUAAGCAAGGCCCCAGCUAUAGUGUUUCACAUAGUACUUAGUUAACCAUGAGUAUGGUGGAUGUUAUUCAGAUUUAAGAUUUGUUGUAUGCAAUUUGUAGGUUGAUAAGUGAGGAAACUUAUUUUAGGUUGAUAUGAAUUGAAACAUUGAUUAUACGGUUGUUAUGCCUUUGUUUAAGGUCAAAUGGGAUGAAGUAUUUGUUACUAUCAAUAAUAUAAAGUCGAUUUCAUUUAUUUUCUUACUUACUUUGGCCCUUACUAUUUUACAUUUUCCUGCUUACAGCCCUAUUAACUCUCCUCUUUCACUUUUCUUUUCCUUUUUUUUUUUCUAAUUUUGAGAAUGAUCUGAGAGCAUGGAAAGAUAGUAAAAUAUAACCCCUAAUGAUGCUUAUAAGUUUUAAGUAGCUACAUUAUUAGGAAAUUAAUUGAACUCGUAAUUAAAUCAUAAUGCAACCUAAUCUUGAAAUAGCAAGGACAGAAGACAACUUAGACGGAGUCUUAAAAUAUUUUGAUUCUUUAAUCAGAAUGAGACUUACUAUUUUUUACAUGAUUACAUACUUAAAUGAAAGUUUACUCUAAUUUUAGUUUAAUAUUUUUUUUGGUUUAUUUGUAACUAAUUCCAUCAAGAAAAACAAAUUUCAUUAAUGAUUCAUUUUGAAUUAGUACAAAUUAUUUUAUUAAAUUGGGCAUCUCCAUCCUUUUUCCCACCGUGCGUAGCACGGUUUAUGCCUCCUAGUUACACGUAAAAGGAGACAUAGCCUCCGUCGUCGAGUCCAAGGUCCAAGCGCCCGGCGACGAUUGAAACGGCAAGACAACCAGGCCCUCCUCUUCCGCAAACUUUCUGACCGCGCGUGGCCUCCUCAGAUCAUUCUUCUUCAUGCUUGUCUUUCUUCCAUCCGCAUCCUUCCGCUGCCUUUGUUUUUUCUCCCACAGUUAAUUGAACAGUCCAAGAAUCAAAAUACAAUAAUCUUUUUAUACUAGCGUUUCCCAGGAAGUCAAAUCACACGCUCAUAGCUCAAUUCUUAUUAAGGGAAAGAGAAGACAAGUAAACCAGAAAAGAGAAAUCAAGAGCCAAGAAUGGGACUCUUCACCUACACCAUAGCCGGAGGCGGUUUCAUCUUGAUCGGUGCUUGGGAAUCGUUCGUGUCUUCCUCUGAAUGUAUCCGAAAUACGCCACCAUCUCCGCCCCUUGCCAGCCAUCGCGCCAUUUCAGGUAUUAACAACAGCAGCACUCAAACGAAAAAGGCCCCUCCUUUUUCAUCAUCGGUAACAUGCUUAUCAAUCUCCGUCCUUUCUUUCCUCUUCAUUCUAAACUCUCUCAUCUCCAUCUCCGACGCCCUCAACUCCAAAGACCACGUCGGUUUCGCCUUCCAGUUAGAGGUAAUCGCAAUCGCGCUCUUUUUUUCCUAUAUUCAACUUUGGGUCUCUUCACGCUUGUCAAGAUUUCGUUUCAAUUUCCUUCAGCGAUCCUCAAUAUGCUGCUUCUUUUCGCUUUCGGCGAAGAAUUUUUGUUCUUUUACGUUAGAAGAAAGGACCCCAGUGGGGUAGAAAACCGAUACUACGAUCUCUUCCUCGUGCCAAUAGGCAUUUGUCUGUUUUGUACUAUUCUCGAACUGAAAAGUCCCAAAUCGAAUUAUGCAAGAUUGGGACGCGGGGUUGGACUGGUUUUACAGGGUAUGUGGAUAGUCCAGAUGGGUUUCUCAUUUUUCUCUGAUUUGAUGAUGGUACAUGGAUGCUCUUUGCACGGGAAGAGUAGAGGAAACUAUACGAUUAAGUGUAAAGGGCACCCUGAGUAUCAUCGUGGUCGAGCGAUCGCUACGCUUCAGUUUAAUUGCCAUCUUGCACUUCUAGUGACUUUGAUUGUUGUGGUGUAUGGAAUUGUCUGCAAGAAGCAUGGGAUUAGGCGUGAUUUGUUGCUGUAUAGGCCGCUUGGACCUGAGAUUGAGCAUCUGGAUGGUCAGCCUCAGUUUACUCUGGAUUCUGAUGAUGAUCUUGAUGAUGCUGAUCAGAAUGGGAUUAAAGAGGUGGGGAGUGUGGAAAUGCAGAAGGCUAUUGUAGCAGUGCCUGCAUCAGAAGUCAAUGGUUAUGGUACUCAUUGACGAGGUAGAUAUUUGGAUCUUAGUUUUGUUAAGUGAAUAGCUUAGAUUAGCUCAUUUGUUAAAUUGUUUGUGACAUAGAAUUUGGAUAAAUGCAAUGAGGGAAUUUUUUUUUUUUUGGGGUUAGCUGGUGAAGAGGAUAUUGAUCUGCAUUGUGAGUGCUGUUAUAAUUUUUCUUAAAGUUGCAAUUAUAGUAUUUCACGACAUUUUGGCUCUUGUUUGUCUUUAUGUUAUUGUCGUAAACCAUGAAUUGACUCGAAGAAUUGCAAUGAUUGUUUGAUGUUUGUCUUUAUGUUAUUGUCGUAAACCAUGAAUUGACUCGAAGACUUGCAAUGAUUGUUUGAUGUUCCUGAUUAUCAGCCAUGAUGAAUCUUUUAUAGCGGUUUAUUAUGAUUUAUUCGUGGUUCCUGCUAAUCGCAGAAUUUGUGAUUCGGUUUGUGAUCUGUGGCAAUAAUGUCACCUUUUGAAGGACUUCCACUUCAGUGAUAAGGGUGGAAGGAGAAAAGAUCAUCAGUUAGUAACAUCUGAAUGUACUUGAGUGGCAAAUAUGCAAUCGGUUACUUUGAAGACUAGUAGAAUUAGGUCUGCUCAAUCAGACAACAUAUUAAAUGUACUUAGCUCAUAUUUUCAUAUGUAAUUCCUCGUCUUACUUGUCCUUCUUACACUGAGCAGCUCAAAGAAUGAAGAGCAAAAGAGUGCAAAAUCAUUAUCAUUGAGUUUCUCAAGCAUUCGCAAGGGUGGCAAAGGGGUGAUGGAAGGUUCUAAAGGUGCUCAAAACAAGAAGUAGCUUGGAAUCUGGUCAUCACUUUGGCUGUAGAGACUAGAGAGAUAGACUCAUCAAUUAUCAGCAUUAGGAAGACCUGCUGGAAUCUGCUGUUAGGUGAUGUCAAAGUUGCUAAACCCUUGAUAUGAUGAACCAAGUUUAUUUGGGAUGGUAGCAUUAGUUGGACGCCAAGCGCAUCCUUGACUAGUCUGCGCUGUGUUUCAUUUUGCUCUCUUUGAUGGUACACUGUUCAUCUCCGCCUCACUUGGUAGACAAGAGUAGAUCAGGAUACAUAUUUCUAAACUUAUGCCCUCUUGCAUAUAGCAUUGUGGGUUGCACAGCUGGAGCUAUUGGCUAGAUAACGAACAAAAUGUCUUUAUGUUUCAUGUUUAUAAGGAUUCACGAUGUGCAUAUUUAGACAUCAGUAUCGGAUAUUUUUUUUUUUUUUCGGGGUGAUCAGAAAACUGAAUCUCAUCUCAUUAUUCGUGUCAGAAUAGUAGCUCAUGUUUUGCUAAUACUGGUGGAAAAAGUUUACUACUUAGAUUGGAUAUAUCUUGGCUCACCUUUAGGAAAUUUGUUUGAAAUUAGCAAUUUCUUCUUGGACACCAAUACUUCAUAUAUGGGAUGAUAUGGCAAGAGAUCAGUGAGUUUGGCUGCGCUGAUUUAGCGGGGGUUUCAGUUUAUUUCCUUGUAUGUCAGUUCGUUGUUCCAAAUGUUCUCCAAGUAUCUUUGCAUUGUGCCGCACUUGAUUGCUAUAUGUCCAUUUUACAAGCUGUGAGGCGUAAGGCGUUACAGGUCUACCCUGUUUGGGAAAUGAAACAGGAGGAAGAUUCCGCCAUCCUAUUUUGGGGCCUUGGAAGCUUGGGCGGUGGUAAUUGAUGCCGUCUCAAAAUCAGUGUUUGUCCUUGCGUGUAAAACGCUUAGUUCAAUGUGGUGGUGCCGAUUAAAGAACAGAACAAUGACGGAUAACCAUCAUAUGUUUGUGAAAAUUGAAUAGAGAAUAGAAAGAAUUAUGAGGUCCUAUAAAAGAGUACCGAACAAUGACAGAUAACCAUAAUAUGAAUGCAAAAAUUUAAAAGAGAGUAGAAAGAUCUAUGAAAGAGUAGCACACUGUUUGGAUUGCAAGUUUUGAGAGUUUUUUUUUUUUAAGAAAAAUUUGUAUAGUGAUUUGAUAUAUAUGAAUAAAAAAUAUAUUCACGGAGGAAAAGAAGUAGUACUUGUGUAAGAUAGGAUAGGUAACCAUGAAGUAUGUAAAGCUAGCUACUGUUGCCUUACGUAAUAAAUUAUUACUCCAUCUCCAUUGAUCAACGAUCAGGAUGGAAGUUUGAAGAUAUAUUGGAGCAGUCUUAUUUUCAUCUCCCAUGGCAGAAACACUUUUUUGACUUCUCCAAGAAUAAUAAGUUGGCCUUUGGGAUAAUAGGUAAAUCGAGGAGACAUAUUACAUAUACAACGAAAAGGAGCACACUACUGAGUACUGACUGAAUACAACUUCUUCGUUUGAUACAAUGCGAACUUGGCUACAACUGAGCUGACCGGUCAUAUUCUACUUUUAUGGAAUCUAAAGAAAAUUACAAAUCCCACGAAGCUUACAGAAUCGAGUAUGGCUAGCAGCCAGUAGUAGCUGUCUAGACGGGAAUUUCUCAUGUCAUCAUUGAACCAACUGUUUUCUCUUCCACCGGAACUCGUGAAGCAUUCAACGAGAGAUAUAAGGAGGGCGCUUAAGAAGCUUCCUACCCCGAAGACGCUGGUAUACAGAGCUAUACCCAUUGUUCUAAAUCUGAGAGGAACCUCAGAAUAGAAGAACUCUUGCAUGCCUACGACCGUGAAUAUAUCAGAAAUGCCCAACAAAAUGUAUUGAGGAAGCAGCCAAAAGAUGCUCAAUGGUACGGUUUCAGACAGCAGAUCGGAAGCUACCAUUUGUCUGCUCAGCUCAAGCCUCUUCCUUUCAGUUAAAGCAGCAAUCACCAUGGCUAUCACCGACAAAAACAUUCCAAUUCCCAUCCUCUGUAUCACGCUGAUUCCUUUCUCAUUUUGAGUGAGGAUUCGGGUUAAGGGUAUGAAGAGGAUGUCAUACAAAGGCAUCAAGAGGAUAAUAGAGACGGUUAUUGCACUUUGAAGUGCUGCUGGUGGGAUCUUGAAUUUGCUGCCGAUGUUCCUCUUCAUCGUCAUGCCUUGUUUGGUAAAGAAUGUUGGAGGUUGCUGAAAAAUCACAGCAAACAUCAGAAGCAUGGUCCAAACUGGCAGCAGAGGCAGCACCAUUUUUGCAAUUUGAACAAGAUGAUUCUCAUUCUCAGAUUUCUCAUACAAGCCUUCCAUUCCUUCAGGAUCUGCGUCAAAGAGUGGUUUCUCCUGGAGUCUACAAGGACAACACCCGGUCGUUAGUACUUUGUAGAAUUGCUAGUAUCAUGCAACUGUAAAAUAGAGAGACGCUUACUCUAGCUCGGCCACAUCUGAGUUUCUAUCCAAAUCAAUCUUGCCGCAGAACAUCCUCGAUAGAGUUGUUUUGACUGUUUGUGUCAUGUUUUCCGUCGACUUGUUAUCGACAUUCUUGGCCUUCUUAUGCUUAUAAAACCGGUUCCCCAAUAAAAAUAUUGCAAUGGACGCUAGAAAUGAAAUUGCAGGGAUGGCAAAUCCCAAUCCCCAUCCCAGAGUAUCUUGGAUAUAUGACAUGAGGGAGACUCCAAGCAAGCUGCCACAACAGAUGCCGAAGUACCACCACUGGAAAAAUAAUCUCCUCUUAUCAGAACUGUGGUCAGUUUUGUUGCUAGGUAAUUCAUCCCCAUCGUCCAGCUGAUCAGCUCCAAAGGCUUGCAAGGAAGGGUUAUACCCACCUUGGCCUAGUGAAAUCAGAUAGAGAGACCAGUGAAGGAGUGCCGAGGAGCUAACUUUGCCGAUCGGAAUCAAAAGCCAUCCCAGCGCCGUAGACGCUAACAUUACGAGUCCCUGGGCAAACGAAACGAAAGAUUACGGUCGUCGUCUCAUAUGCCAUACGCCAAAUUCUAAGUUAUACUAACAACAUUGGCACCGCUGGCUUUUAGUUACAUUUCCAUUCAAAUUCUCUAGAUUUUAAACAUAAUUGAAUGAAAAACCAGACUACGUUAAAGCUGCAGCAGAUUCAAAAAUUUUGACAAUGCUUCUCAUCAAUCAAUACACUACAAGUAAAUCGCCACAUCAAUGGUACAUUAAACUACUAGAUAGUAGCACCAAUUUUUUUUUUUUUUUUAAUAGCAAAAAAGCAAUUUCACUUGGCAAAAGAAGUGGGAAAUGACUCGGGUUCCAUUUACCUUUGUGGAUACACACCUUAGCAGGUAUCCCACCAUUUCCACAUCAAAUUCCACUAAAUAAUUAGCAAUGGAUACACAAAAAACAACAGGAGAAAAGAAGCAACAAGCAUCUGAAUUCGUAACGCAACAGCCCAAUAUUAAGCUUCGUAGGGGCCAAACCAAACACAAGGAGUGAAAGGGAAAGGGAAAGGGAAAGUUGAGAGACUUUACCAAAGCAUAGAGCAAGGCAGCAGAUUGUACGGUGGUAUACCGGUCCCAGUAAGAGUCAGCAAGCGGAGCCACUACCAGCGGCACCAUAGACGUAAAACCGCACCAACUGUUAACCAUCUUCGCCGCCGACGAGUUGCUCAUUUUAACAACAUCAGUAAGAUAAGUCACCAAAUUGGACGCCACACCCUUGAAUGCAAACCUCUCCACGCCAGCUAUGACUGGUGAGAACGUUUCAAGUACUUGUAAAUAUUCACAGGCCCAGCGUAUAAAUCGUGGUGCAUUUUUAAUAAUACCGGUAGCCGGAUUGUUUCUUUAAAGAAAAACCAGAAAGAACAAGGAAAAAAAAGUGAACAUGCAGAUGAAAAACUACGUACCAAUGAGAAGUACAAUGGGCUUAUUGAGUCCUGCGGUUAGUCUGUGUCCUCCGGCCAUGAGUGUCAGAGUCGAAUGGGAAAACGAAGCUGGGAACUGGUUCUAGACUCUGGAAAAAGUAUCAACCCGGAAAAAAAUGAUGAAAUAGAGAGGCGUGGGAGAAUUGAGAGGAUAACUUGUUUGUUUCUUGUUUCUUUCAAAUUCUCAGUGUUUCAGUAAGCACGCAUGAAAGGGGCAAUAGAAGUUUAGAGGAAUCACUUAAGAAGUUGAGACUAUAUACUAGUGUUCUUGUUGGGUUCCACCAGUGCAUGUUGGAAACUACUAUAUACAACUUUGUCGUUAAAUGGGUGGUUAAUGGAAUACAGGACGAUCACUAUAAAUGAGCUCCCUAGCUUACAAGGCUGAAGGUUACAGCAAGAACGGAAAAAAAAUUUUAGUUGGCUGCCUCGUCACGGCGGUCCUAUUUGCCCAAGAAUAUAACACUAGCACCAGUACAUUAGUAUGUCCUCGUGCAGCAGGCACUAUACAUUCCUCCUUCAAAAGCACGCCACGCCUGAAACUGAAUGCUUGGUCACUCACUUGGACUCUUCGCACAUCUGCCGCGUAGGCAACUUAAUUAGCCUUUUGCAUGAUGAUGAUUUGCCAAUUAUAUUGGAGUUGAAAAAACAAAUUAUCGCGAAAAGCUCCAACACAAUAACCAACUUUAUAAGAUUAUCCUCUACCAUUUACCAAUGACCAACCAUUCCUCCAGCUUUAUUUCACCACUAAAACUAAGACGUAAGAUCCAUUUGAAAGAAUGAUUGGCUUGACGGGAUACGUAAGAUCCUUUUUCUUUCUUUCUUUCCUUCUUUUUCUUCCGUAUACAACCUAACCAGCAUAUUAAUUUCCAGCACGUCCGAGCGUUAUGGAAUUUGUAACUGGCUUCUUCUGCCCACGCGAAGGAACGAGGGUAUCUGUCUCGGCUCACGGUCAUCUCGUGCUUCGAAUUUGACGUUUGCUGGAUCAAUUUAGCUCUGAGAAUCUGAUUACAGACGACAACAUACACUCAUAGGGGUACGUAUAUAUUUGUGUGUCACCUUUUUCUGUGGGCAGAACUGAUUCAGACGACCAAAAAAGCAAUGAAAGUGGCGAAACUCCUGUAGUCUGGUCUAUAUACUUGGCUCGGCCUGAUGAACCAAUUACGUCGUGUCAUAGUGAUGCUACUUACACUCCUGACGAUCGAUAAUGCAGAUGCAGGUGCGAUGACUCUGUCAAAAACAUCUAAAGUCGGAACAGGAGAGACCCGCUGAUCUACGUACGGAGCCAUAUGGUAUUGAUCACUAUCCAUACAUAAUUGAUUAAAAAGAAAAAAAAAAAAAAGCACUAAUGCUCCUGUCCUGCUCCAUAAAACGGCUGUUUAUUGCAAUUACCUUUUGCGUCACAAAUCCAAGACGUCAAUCGGGGCCAUGCACCAAUCAGUGAGUCUUUUCUGCACCUUCCCCGCUCCUGCUGCUCUUUUGUGAUAUACUGACAUGGAAACCACUCCCUUAUUUCACUCCUCCUACCAUAUGGAAUUGACCAGCCCAAUAUUUAACAUAUGCAUAUGGGAUCCAUAGCUGCUAAAUACUGACACGCGGCCUCCAACAUAAUUGGGACAUUGUUAUCUCUUCCAGGUUCUGGACGCCAUUUUGGUUUAAGCGUCCCGGUCUGCUAGCUACCUAGCUACAUUUGGCGUGUACCUAUCUGCAUGCACUAAAAUUAUGAGACGAUACUCUCAAAACCGAACCAACUGGGGAACAGGCUUUCUUGUGCUCUGUCGUACAUAGAGGUACUAUUGAGCCGAGUCGAGCUCGAGCUCAAUCAAAAUUUGUGCUACUCGAGCUCGAUCGAGUAAAAAAUUUGGACUCGAGCUCGACUCGAUGAAAUAAAACUAAACUCGAACUCGAUUCGGUUGAGCUCGAGUAAGCUCGAAUAAAUAUCAAGCCCGAGCUACUCGAGCCAAAAUUUGUAUCUCAAGCCGACAUAGUUCUACACAAAAGCCCCGAUAGCCAUAUCCACUCGCCAGUUGCCCGCUUCAAAUUAAUUAACUCUGUUUUGGCAGAGUGGGGCCCGGCCUUCUUCAAUCUGCACAAAAUCUGUUAUGGAACGGAAAUUGGAAAUUGGUUGGUUUUUGUAUUUAACAAAAAUUAAAUAUUUGAGAGCACAAAGAUUUGUAUUUACUCUCAAAUAUUUAAUUUUUGUUAAAUACAAAACUUAUCAGUUUUCAUUCCGUAAAAAUAUUAAUGUAACACUUUUUCUUUUUUAGUUACAAAUAUUUAUGUAUUUAAUAUAAAUUAAAUGAUUCAGAAUAAAAUAUUCAUAAAAAGUCAAUACUUUACUCGUAUAAUGGAUGAAAACUAUAAAGAAUUAAUACUUUAUGGGUCAUUUUUUUUAAAUAUUUAAUUAUAUUAAAUAGAUAACCUACCGAUUUCCUUUUUGUAAGAAUAUUACUGUAACACUUUUUGAAUUUUACUUACAAACAUUGACAUAUUUAUCAUAAAUUAAAUAUUUGAAAAUAAAAUAUUCAUAAAGAGCCGGUACUUUAAAUGGGUAAUGCAUAUCUGCCCAUAAACUACACUGUUUAAAGUUUAUUAAUUGUUAAUUGAUUUGUAGUACUUUAUUAUUCGUUGGACAUAUAGCACAAAUGGCCAGUAUGGUAUAAAAUUAUAAUUUGACUCCCUAAAACAAUAUUUUAAUCGUUUGGACUGAAUUUGCAAAAGAUUAGUAGGUUCAGAGAAGGUCAGUACUAUUUUUCAAACUAUAGGGGAGGUCAGUGCAAGUGUCAGAAACCUCAGGGGAGGUUUCUGCAAUUAUCCCUUCUUUUCAAUGAAAGCCUUCUGCAGUCUUGAUUCUUGAACCCCUCGGAUUGAACUGUUCAAUUCCAAUCUCGAGUACUAGAUCGAACUUUGCAUUUGUCCAGAGAUCGGAAAUAGGUGAAAAAAGGCCCCUCCGAUCAUGGCAGAGCACCACCACCACCACAACCACCACCAUCACCGCCCGAGCCGGCUCUCGCUUCCACCACGCACCACUGUUCCUCACACUACGCCAACCACCUCAAGACCCACACCGUAUCAAGGAUUCCCCUUCCCGCCGGCGACUCCCACCCCAACCCCCUCCAAACACCGCCUGUCCUCUCUCUCCACCAAGACUUCGAGCUCUAAAACCUCUCUCUCCUUCCUCUUCCUCCUUUUCUCCCUUCGCUCCCUCUACUCUCUCCUCCCAUUCCUUCGUUCCUCCCCUUCCUCUUUCUCCAUCUUCCCCUUCUCUUUCUUAGUCUCUCUCCUCUCUUUCCUCCUCACACUCUCUUUCCCUCUCUUCAUUUCCCUAUCUUCUUCUUCCUUUAGAGAUCAUUUUCAUCAAAAACAACGCCAGCCCAUUUUCUCUUUCACCUCCAUUACUCAAUCCCAGUAUAGACUUCUGGUUGCUAAAUCACUCCUCCUAGCCGUAAUAUUCCUCCUCCGUUUCCAAGCCCUCCGUUACUGCGGUACAGCUGCGUUGAUUCUUGCUGAAUUGUCCGGAAAUGUAGCUGCGCGUUUCAUUGCUGAGGGUAAAAAUCGCAACUUUAUUGGUAAAACUCAAAUUGGCAUGUCUAAGGUUCGUGGCUUUAUUGCCUUGUUUUCUGGGUUGUUUUUGUUAUCUAUUAGUUGGGAUCGUCUUGACUGCUUCCCUUUCUCUUCUAUCAACGUUCACAAAUUUGGAUUGUCAUUUUUUCCUGGUCAGAAUUGUAUUAGAAUUUGGCCGAUGUUGCUUCCGUUCUUGUCUGGGUUUUUAGGGUGUUAUGAGCGGGUUUCGAUGAACUGGGGUACUGUUAGGCAACUGGGGCCAAAACGGGUUCGGUUGCUUUCACUGUUUUUCACAACUGUUGUGCUUUUCGUACCUGCUGUGAUCAGUAUGUUUAUAUUCGAAGUUGAAGGAGAUAGCAUUUCCAUUGCAAAUCUUGGUUGGCCUCUGGCCAAUACAGUUGUGUUUGGAGUGCUUUUGAGUGAGAAUUACACUGAUGAGAAAGUUGCUGCUUCCAAAGAUUUUCAGAGGGAGUAUCUUGUCACUUUUGUUUGUACAGUUAUUUUGGAGUUGUUCUAUUUUCCAGAGCUUUCCCUUUGGGGUUUACUGAUUUGUGGAUUGUUGCUGUGGGUUUCUGUGAGCGAAUUGGAUCCUGUUCAUCCUAAUUAUAUUGAAUUAGGUGUUGAAUCAUCGGACUCAUUCGCCAUGUCUAUUAUGAAGCCCAUUCGCCACAUUUUGAGUGAAAGAAAGUCACGCAAGAUUGCUCUUUUCCUGUUGAUAAAUGCUGCUUACAUGGUUAUAGAAUUUGUGGCGGGUUUCAUGAGUAACAGUCUUGGGUUGAUAUCAGAUGCAUGUCACAUGUUGUUUGACUGUGCUGCCCUUGUGAUUGGCUUGUAUGCAUCGUACAUUUCACGCCUCCCAGCAAAUGGUCAGUUCAACUAUGGUCGUGGAAGAUUCGAGGUUCUUUCAGGAUAUGUGAAUGCUGUCUUUCUGGUUCUUGUAGGAGCUCUAAUUGUGCUGGAGUCAUUUGAGAGGAUCUUGGAUCCUCAAGAGAUCUCUACAAACAGCUUGUUGGCAGUGUCUGUUGGAGGGCUGCUUGUCAAUGUAGUGGGAUUGAUCUUUUUUCAUGAGGAGCAUCAUCAUGCGCAUGGUGGUUCUGGAACAUGUACCCACUCACAUUCCCAUUCGCACUCAAAUUCCCGCUCUGAUUCUCAUUCCCAUCACAGCCACCACCACCAUUCACAUGACCAUAAAUGCCAAAUUCAGCACAAAACUCACGAGUGUGUUCCUGUUGUCCACAACAGCCAUGUGAAACCUUGCUCUGGUGAUGCGGAACACCAUGUUGGUCAUCACAAGCACCAUGAUUGUGAUAAUCACCAGAAAAGUGACAAGAAAGAAGGUGAAGAAUGUGGAACAAUGCAGUGCGACAGUCAUGAUGAUCACCAUCGUUAUGAUCAUGGUGCUGGCACGCUAAUCUGUGAUGGUUCAUUGAGUGUGAAUGGUCAAUCUCAUGGAAGUCAUGCUGGUCAGAGUGUGCAUGUCUUAGGGGACUUGCAUAGUCAUGAUCAUUCACACUUGGAGGAACUUAACAGGAAGCAGCAACACCACCAUCAUAUUGACCAUAACAUGGAAGGCAUCUUCUUGCAUGUUUUAGCAGACACCAUGGGAAGUGUCGGUGUGGUUGUUGCCACACUCUUAAUUAAGUAUAAAGGAUGGCUCGUUGCAGACCCUGCCUGCUCUAUCUUUAUAUCUGUACUGAUUAUAUCUUCUGUGAUUCCAUUGCUUAGAAAUUCUGCUGAAAUCUUGCUGCAAAGAGUUCCAAGAGCUCUUGAGCAGGAUCUCAGACAAGCAGUAAAUGAUGCUAUGAAGGUGGAUGGUGUGCGUGGAAUUCAGAAUCUGCACUUUUGGAGUCUGACGAACACUGAUGUUGUUGGGACCCUCCAUCUUCACAUAUCAACGGAGGCAAGUAAAGCUUCUGCAAAGGCUCAAGUGUCUCACGUAUUAGAGGAUGCUGGGAUCAAGGAUUUAACAUUGCAGGUGGAAUGUGUUAAAUGAGUAGUAUUCGACGAAAAAUGCUUUUACCAAUGAACAUCUUGCUGACGUCUUCAGAGAUGGCUUUUUGAGUUUGCGGCAACAAGCAGGCAUGAGAUUGGAAAUAUUGCCAUUACUGAUUCACCGGGGUACAGCACUUUCAUAUUCUAAGUUUUUACCUUGUCCUCUCUUUUUUUUUUUCAAUAGCUUUUGUAACAUUUUUUUCCAUCUGUCAACCAUCUGUCAAAUGCUGUAAUAACAAGCAAGUAAUUGUACUGAAUAUUUUUAGGGGGCUUGGAGUUUAAUCUGGCAGAAACACAGGUGGCUGGUACGAAGCAAGUAUCCUUUCAAAGCUGGAAGGCUGCAAAAGGAGGAUUAUCCAAUUUUGAGGCACCCAAGCUGAUAGGUUUAGUUAGUUUUUGUCAGUUUCUAGGACGAAUUUUGGUUUUUUCCAAGAACAAGCAACAUCAGUGAGUGUGCUGACAGCAGAAAUGCCAGUUGUCGGAAAGGCAGCUGCUUUGAUUGCAGGGAUGAAUAUCCCAACUAACAAGAGAUACAAAGCAAACUGAGAUGCCCAUAUGCUAGUAUGAUUAUUUAUUCGUGUUAGAUGAAUCAUUUCUCUGUUAACAUUUCAAAAUUUAAAGGGUAGAAAUGUGAAACGAUUGAAAUUAGCUGAUUGACAAGCGUAUGGAUUGUUAUCGUUAGGGGAAAAAAAAAAAACAAGCGUAUGGGCCGGUAUUUCUUAAUGCCACACUAGGACUGAAGAAUCAUAAUGGGAAUAAGGGGAAAACAAAAAAAAAUCGUCCACAGUCCCACGAUCGAACAGUCCCUGCCCUCCGAACUUCCAAGUUCCACCUCAAUUUAAUACCGCCGUUGCAAUUGAAAUCUGUGUCGGGUGUGAGGGUGGCGCAGAUAUGGGGAGCUCGGAGGAGAAGGUGGUAGCUGUUAUCAUGUCGGCGGACCCACUAAAGGUCUGGUCUGUUCAACCAACCAUUAGUAUCGACUUCCGAUUACCACCAUCUUUCUCACUUUCCUUGCUUAGAAAUGGACCGCUACAUGUUUGUGAAUUGCCUUUCCUGGUUGAAAUUUGAGCAUAAUUUAUAGUAACUGUGCGUAUCCCUCCUUGUUUCUUUGACAAAAAAUGUUGCAGGCACUCGAUUUCGGCCACUUUCUUUUAAUACUCCCAAGCCUCUUUUCCCUUUGGCUGGCCAGCCCAUGGUUCACCAUCAUAUUUUCUGCUUGUAAAAGGGUAUGCCUUUUGAUUGUCGUUUUUGAGUAGAAUUCCAUCCUGAAAAGGACUACUGGAAGAAGAAGAAGAAGAUAUCGGUAUCUUUCCGUUGUGAUUCAGCAUUAGAAUUCGACCGUGCUGUUUGUGCAGAUCAAGAACUUGGCACAAAUAUUUCUGAUCGGUUUUUACGAGGAGAGAGAAUUUGCUUUAUACGUCUCUUCAAUCUCCAGUGAGCUUAGAGUCUCUGUCAUCAGGCGAACUUUGGCCGUUUGGUUUCUACUAAUACUCGAUUCCAUGCUUUCUUCUUUCCCUUUUUCUUUGUUUUGGCUGCCUAACUUUCCCAAGUUUCCAGUACAAAACUUGAGCAUUGAAUCUGAGAGUGGUUUUCUGUCCUUUUAUAAAAAUUAUUUUGUAGAUAUUUGAAAGAAGACGGGCCUCAUGGUUCGGCGGGGGACCUUUAUUACUUUAGAGAUCUCAUGAUGGAAGAUUCUCCUGUGUGUCAUCCCAUUGCGCAUAGUUCUUAUUUAUUUGACCACCUUAAUGAUUUUGCUUUCGUCUUACAAUAGUCGACCGAGGGAGCAUAUGGUCGUGUUGUUUCUCCUUGGUGAUGAAGAACCACACUAUUAGCUUUUGGUAUCGAUAUCCACUUUUUCUUUUUUUUCCUUUUUUUUUGGGAAGCGUUUACGUGUUUUUUGCAAUGUUUUGAAAAUCGAAUCGAAUCGACCGGUUUGAUCGAUUGAACCGCGAAUCGACAAUGACAUCAGUCCGAUUCAAUGUCAUAGUUGACUUUGUCAAAAAAUCAUGUGUGUGAUACCAUCUUUGUACAGCUUAUUUGUUUUAUUUUCUCAUACUGAUAGAAGCCCUCUGGCACGUCUAUUAAUCUGACAUUUGCUUUUAUGAUCGAAUUGUAGAAAUCAAGGUAGUUAUGAUCGAAUUGUAGUAUGAAAGUUGCAGUAUAUACCACACAGUUGUCUUGCACCCUAAUGUUGGAUCGAAGUCAUCUCUUGGGAAGUGGUCUCGCCGCCCUGGUAUUCUCUCCAUUUUUCUUGUUUAUUUAUUUUUUUAGCAAAGGAAGUCCGGAGAGGGCAGGGAAUUUGAACCCAGGACCUCUAAUUCUUAGGUUUCAAUCUUAGCCACUAGAUCAACGAGGCCUCCUUGGCAGGUAUUGUUUUUUGCUUUUUCAUGGUUCAGGUAAUUUAUUCACUUAAUUAAUGAAGUGCAUGUAUAGUUUUCCUCCAUGUGGUGUAGUUCCCUCAAGAGUUUCAGAUUUGUCAAACUCCAAAAAUUUCAAGUAUUCCAUAAUUCAUAAUGUUGGAGGAAGAAGAUUAGGAUAUCAUGAAUUCUGAUUGCGUCUGCCUGUUUGGUCAUCCAUGUAAGUUGGCGUGACAUACAACGCAUAAUAAACAGUUAAAUAUAUAUAAAGAUAUAUAUAUAUAUAUCUUCAAUCCCAUGAUCUCUUAUACAGGGGAAGCUGUGACUGUUGAAGAUGAGGUUGUGGUGAUCAACUCCAUCGUUCUUCCUCACAGGACACUUAAUAUGAGCGUGCAGGAAGAAAUCAUUCUGUGAGAUAAUCAAGCUGCAUUUUGGAAGCUCCAUUUUGCAUUAUACUUCUUGGAUUUUAUGUCAUAACUGCUCUUAUACCAAAAGUAAAUUGCAAUGCUAAUCGAUAGAGCACUCAGAAAGUAAAAAUUAUAGAUUCCAUGUUGUAUACUGCUACCUCCCGCACCCUAUUUAAUAAUCUGAAUGCUUCUUGUAUAUCGUCAUUGUGUAACCUGCAAAUGUGCUACUUUCCUUUUGGCCUUUUUUUUAUACGAAACAAAUACCUAGAGAGAGCUGUCUUAUGGACAAAGAUAAGAGUGGAUCACCAACUGGUCGAAUCUUAUUGUAGAGGCUGAAGUCUAGUCUGAGUAUAGUGCCAAUAUCAAGUGUAAGUGGUAAUCGGAUUGCAAAAUGAAAGACAGAUUGGAUUUCAGACCGGGCAAUUUAUUACACAAGGGAAGUGGAAAAUGGGAUGACAAAAUGAAAUCGAUGCGCCCAAAACCAAUCACAGAAACUGAUUUUACCAGGGAAUAAACAAAAGGAAUGGUGCACAAAGUUGCUCGUUGCCUGUUCACGGCCGUGGCAAGAUGAGUGCAACAGUGAUUGUCACGCUUCACCCCCGAGUGACAAACUAAGCCAUUGAUCUCAAAAUUUCAAACAGAAAAAGCCGUGCAGUUGCAGGAGGAAUGUUUUAUAACCAGAAAACAGAGCUUUGGAAGGAUCAAAGCUUUGGUCCCUGCUUCAGUGAUAUAAUCAUACAAGUGUAACAAACUUAACAGUACAUCACCAAUUUUUAUAAGAUGUCUUACAGCGAGAUGUUUAUCCAUAUGAUAUUACCAAAUCUAUCCAAUAUGGAACUGCAUGUAAAACUUUUAACCCUAUCAAAACUUCGGUUUAUGAUAUUCUGACUUUUGUGGAAGACAUAAUUGCACUGCCCCAAUUCUUCCAGCUGAUGUAAUCUACACAUCAGCUCUGUAGCAUAGACGCAAUCUGAGUACUAUGAACAGCCAUCUCUAACAUAACAGGAAUGUCGUAUAUCUCUGCUAUUGAUUGUACUUUUCUAACUUGUUGGAUCAUCUAUGCACCUUGAGAAGUUAAUUGGUCCCAUACCCCAGUGAAGCAGGGAAUCUGUCCAACCUGAUUUGGUAGCAGAGAAUGGAUAAAAGCUAGGCAAUCCUCUGUGCCACCAAUGAACCAGAGAUGGAAUCAGUGAGAGAAAAGAAACAAAGUUGGUAUUCUUGUGACUUCUAAGUCAUUCAUGAGGCCGUAGAUCCAAUUUAUAAGCCUGAAUUUCCAUGGGAGAUAUGAGGACAUGCCCUUCUCGAGCACCUUCCUGAAACUGCUCACUGUAACCAAGCAUCUCCGUGUCAUCAUGUAAAAGGUUUAGAGAAGUUGCUUUUGCAUUCAACACUGCAAGCCCCUUGAACAUGUCAAAUAAAUUGACAGGCACAUCGGCCACGCUCAUACAUUCAGACCUGCCCUUCCUACAAUAUGAGGAGUCCCAGUGUCGUCUUUGCAAAAUCAGAACAAAUCUAGCCUCUUGAAGGGGCUGUUGUGAGUAUUUAGAAGGGCGAGGGACCUUGAAGUUCACUACAUGCAAGUCACAGGGUAAGGGAGCUGCCAAAGGAGAGAAAGAUCUAGGAGGUGGCUGCACAGAUAUCUCCUGAGACUUCUUGGCAACAAAUACAUGUACAGGAUAAUUCAAGUGGGCACCAACCAACUGUGAUAAAAGAGAGGGACUUAAAGGAUGAGAGCUUGAGACAGGAUCUGCAAUUUGUGAAAUGUUGGAUUCCAGAAGGAUAUGAAAGACAACAUUCAUCGGACGGUUAUCCAUCACUCCUUGGCCAAGACCACGUCCAUCAUCUCUCGUUAGACGGCGAUCAAGCAUAAUCUCUAAAUAUCCAUUCUUAAGGCUUGCCACACCAAGUGAUUGCCGAGUAUGGACAGAGAAGCGCAGUCCAUUGGAGGCUUGCAUGAAUGCUAGAGAUGGCAUUGGAUAGUAAUUUCCCUGUGGGGGGAUCUUGUCAUAGGUCUGUCUACGGCUCAUUUGGUACCCAUUCAAAUCAGAGUAGAAAAUCCUCUUAUUAUCAACAUCAGUCUUGUACCUAGCUAUCAACUCUCUGUCAUUGAAUUCAUGUCCAAGAAGUUCAACAUGAUAUUCCUUCUCAAUUAGAUGUUCUUGUAUGGUCUUAUCACCAUUAUACAUGCGGGUACUAUGGGAAACUGGGCUUUUGUCAUAUGCUGUCUUAGGACAAGAGUACACUUCCUGAACCAAAUGGCCCUCUGAGACCACCAAUAUUCCACCUGCCCGGACGAUAGACUCAGCAUCACCAUUUGGUUUAAAAAGAUAGGCUCCACUUUCCGUGCUUGAGUACAUACCUAGUUCCUCAGCAACAAUAUUUUGGGAACCAUCAAUAUUGCUUAUUUUCUGCAACAACCCAAGGUCGACUUGGAAGGUGAGUUUCCUAUGUUGAUUACUGAUCUCGAUGGCGUCACCUUCUACUUUUGAGCAAGCAUAUGGAGCGGGACAGGGUAAAUCAUCAGCACUGGAAAUUUGAAGUCUUGCCGGUUUGGCCUUUUCACAUCCCACGAAACCAUUAGCAACAUAGUAUGUUUGCAGUCCCAUAGGAGGGAUAGAAGCUUUCCAGUAAAGACGAUGGUUUCCAGUAAAAUGUUUGCUUCUACCAUGGUGCAAUUCAGGAGAAAUUUGGCUUUUUACACAGGUCCAGUUCGAGUCCAGAACUGUUACAUCUGGUCUUUGAACAACAACCAUGAUGAUCUCAUUUCUUGUUUGUUCCAGGGGAUUAAACACAACCACAGUUUGAACUGUCCCCUCCUGAGCGCUAAUGGCUUUAUGUACUGGUUGAGCAUCAUAUUUAGAUCUCACUUGUGCUGGCUCGAAUUGAGCUGGGUUAUGAUCAUUUUUCUCAUGGCGGAUGCCCAGCAGCACUUCUAUGGCCUUGGACAUGAAAAUCUGGAGGUCCUGUAAAGCCAUAUGCAUCCGUGUCCCAUAGUCUUUAACCACAUGAUCCUUUGCAGUACCAGUCACUCCAUCAUGAUGCUGAAAUAAAGCUAGGUUCCUUCUUGCAGCUGUCAGCUUGUAAGAGAAUCCAGUCGGUAAUUUUUCACACUGUGCUCUCUGGCAAUACCCCAGCAAAAAAGCCAUCAUUAUUUCAGCACUGCGAAGUGUCUGUUCGAGUACACGAUCAACAGCCUUGAAGAAAGGCCGGGAAACAUAAUAACCACUCCAGUAAUCCUGUUGUCUAUCAGCAUAAGUAAAGAAAUCACCUGAUAAAGAUGGAAAACCACCUCUUUGAGCAGAUCCAACCUCAUGAUGACGAGAAUAAUUAACUCUGUCAGCCUCUUCAUGUAGAGUUUGGAAAUAAUCUUCAAGAGUACCAAACUUUGCUUCAGCAUUCAAGCUAGGAUCAGAGUUAAUAUAAUCAAACAGCAUUUGAUAGUUCCUAAACUGAGCUUCAGCUUCAUCAAUGCUGAUGUAACGGAAAUCAUCUCCAAGGGGAACAAGCAGUGUAUUUGUUCGGUACAAUGUCGAUUUCUUCCUAUAUUGAUCUAAAAGUAUAUUCGCUCUCUCCUUCACAUUCUCCUGGGUGGUCUCUAUCGGAUGUUUUCCCCAAGGACAGAGCUCAUAUACAAAACCCCGCAUACGAGCAAAGUCAAACUGACAACAGAUUGCAGGCUCUGGCCCACAAGUAUGUGGAAUAUCAUAAGAAUAGAACGGCAUCAUGUGGACAAACAUAUCAGUUGUUUCCUCAGCAUCCCAGCUCUGUCUCCAUACAUAUUCCAAAUUUUUAGUCAAAGCCAGUUCCUUCUUCAACUCAUAAUGCGUCCUCUGUAUAAGCAUGUUCUCAAAACCCAUGCGACGGAGCAGAUAUGCCAUAGUUGAUGAAUAACCAAAAGGAUCUAUAGCCCAAGAGUUUUUAGGAAUAACUCCAACAGUUUCAUUUAACCACAUAUUUCCUUCAGUUAUCUGGUUAAGAAUUGCAAGACAAAUUAGGACGAACUUUUAAAAUUGUUUGAGACUAAUUUCCACUACCAUCAGCAAAUAUUUGAAGAAAAGAAGCAGUGACAAUAUUUUAAACUCUAUCUGCAGUACAGACCAGCCACACACUAGCUUCUAACUCUCCAAAAAAGUAAAGUCUCGGAAAUAAAAGUUGCAUCUACUAAAGAAACCAACGAUAAAGCUUAUAUCUUUAGGCUCCAAGAAGUCAGUAAUUUAAGGUUCCAGUUUUCCAAGAUAAGUACAAUCAAACUAGUUUUGAUACAACCAAGCAAAAGACACAAGAAGACUAGACCCAAUGUGCUAUAGUUUGUUUCCAUAUAGAACAACCUUGUGCUAAUCUUAUCAUAAAAAGCAAUCAUAUAAAAUUAAAAAAAAAUUUAAAAAAAAAAAAACUAUCCAGGAUGCAGCAGUUGACAAGAAAAGCAAACUUAUUGUGGUAAACUAGCAAAUCAAUCAAAUACAGCCAUGGAGGAAUACGAGGAACUGAUUCUAGAAAUGCCUCCUGUUUACCUGUUCAAGGAUCGCAAAAUAAUGUGAAUUAGCCUGCACAAAGAAAAAUAAAGUAUAGCAGUUAGACAUCAUUAGCUAACUUGAGAAAUUAUGAUAAUUAUGUUACACAAUCAAUGCUAACAAAGCAAGACCCCUGUGGAGAGAUGGACUCAUCUGUGAAUGGAAAAAGCUAAUAAUUUUCAAUAGUUUUCCUUCCAGAGAAGAUGGAGAUGCUCAUUCUGAUUAUAAUGACCAACAAGAUUAUUCCUUUACAAGGUUUGCACUUACUUCACCAGAAUUGAGGCAAUCUAAGCAAAAUUUUACCAUACAAGUAAAAAAUCGGGGAAAAAAGGGACAAAAAGUAGGUUACACUCACAACUGGAAAAAGGUUAAGGAGUAUGAGAUGACUAUUUCAUAUAUUCAACGUACAUAUAGAAGUAUGGAAAUAUGUUUACAUGACAAUCGCAAAAGUUCCCAGCACACUGAUGUGCAAAUCAUCACAAGAGCAAGAACAUGAAGCUGAAGGCAAAUAUUCGUGGGUCCACCACAGACGCGUAGUUUUCUCUUUCCAAACUGACAUCUGAGUGACUUUUCUUAGGUUUCCUUCUAGUUUUCUCUUUCCAAGCUGAUGUCUGAGUAGAUUUUCUUUAGGUUUCCUUCGUGGAAUGGAGGUUCUGGGGCUCAACUGAAAUAAGUUUUUGUUUGGAAUGGGUUUCCCACUUUUAGUUUCUAAACCACAAAGGAUAUGAAAAAUAUAAGUUGCAAUGGCUUUUCCCAUUCAGAUUGUUCCAGUAUACCAAGCAAAUCAGCUUCAGUUGGUUCCCGUAAUAAACAAAAUCAGAUAAGUGACUACCAGAGUAGCAAUCGUACCAGCCUGUAUCAUGUACCUAAUUAGUAUCAAAUAUAUCUGUCGGAGCCCCUCCUAAAUCCAUCAUCAUCCAUCAAGGAGAUCAUGAUGUGCAAGCUGACUUGUUUUCAGUGCUAGCACAAACCAAUCACCUAUGUUACUAAAUGAGUAAAUGACAUCUUACAGAGUAGUUCCAAGAUUAUAAUUAAUACUUUUAGUUUCAUUUUGACAUCUUGGACUGGUCAUAACUUCAAGUACCUCAGGUAUUCCUUCAAUUUGCUUAUCAGAUGACUUCAUAUGGCACGUUCUCCACAAGGACCACAACUAAUAAACAUCGACCAAACCAGCUAAAAAUGAAUAACCACAAGAGCAUUCACAAUAGAAGAAAGUACGCUUGUGUAUCAACUAGAAACCACGCAUGUUAGGCUAUGAACUUACCUCAUCAUUCAUCACCCAGCCACCACCAACAAUUUCCAACUGCCCAUUCUUCACUAAAUUGAUGAACGACUCUCUUUUGGUAUCUGAAGCAUCCCUCCACCAUCUCUCCAGAUAAGACAUCUCUUCCCAAAUAAAUUUUCGCCGACUAUCCUGUACAAUCCGAUCAUAGAUAACAGCAAAUAAACAGCAGACUCUAAAACUCGGUAAACCAAUAACUCCGCUAUAUAGUAAAGGUUGAUGAUAAAACCCCUCAAUAAUUACCACUAACAGCGCACUAGAAUCGUAUUAGAAGGCCAUUAAAUAUCAUUUGUUCUUGUUUUUCUUUCUUUUUCCUACUGGCACCAAAACAGCAUGGCCCCCAACUCCAAACUGAAUUAGAGUCAUGAAAUGAAAACCAACCAAAAUUGUAAGCUGCCGUUUGGCACAAGCAUUAGUAUUAGUAUUACCUUAGACAGCGUCUCCACAAUUGUAUCCAGAAUAUGCCUAGACUGCCUAUCAUAGUACUCCUCGACGGUGAGACGCCAACCAGGAUCAUUAUGCGAAUGUGGAACCACAAAUAUCUUGAGUUUCUCGUUAUCCCACUCGUUCCCUUUAUAAGUAACCUUCCAGCCUUGCUUCCAGGCCCCGCCAUCUUUGUCCAAGAACUGGAUCUUGUCGUACAAAUCCUUUGUCGUUAUGUCCACGACAGCAGCCGAAACGGCGUUGCUGCUGGCAGGCGAUUUGCGGUAAACGGGCUUUCGGGUCCUGCCGGAGAACCGGGUUCGGGCAGCCCCGAGGUGGGAGGAGAGAAGGGGUUUAGGGAAGCCGUAGCUGAAGACAAUGAGGAGGAAGAGGAGAAGAGAGACGGAGAGUCCGAUGGUGAAGAAGUUGGCGAGGAUGAAGUCCUUUAACGCCGUGCGCCUGCGGGAUUUGCGGGGUUGUUUUGCGGCGUGUUUGGUGGUUGAUGGGAGAAAAGAGUGGGCCCAGCCGCCUCCGCCGCGGCGGGAGGAGAAAGCCAUCAGGAAGCAGUGGUUACGAACCGAUGAUGGUGGUGGUGGUAGUGGAGAUAGAUCUCAAGGAAGACGACUGUCGAGUGUCGACUUGUCGAGUCUAUGUUAUGCAACGAGAACACUGGGAAAUAGUCCAGCAAUCUGGUCAUGGGCGUGGGACCACAGUUCUUUUUUCCUUUUUUUUUUUUUUGAGUCUUCUUCUAAGUUAACAAUACAAAAUCGAUGGGAUUAUCAAAUUGCGAGCAGAUAUUAACCAGUUUGGAGUCGACGAUUUUUCUUGUAUUCGUAAUUUGUACUAGAAUUUAUUUCCCCCCCCCCCCCCCCGGCAAAAAUAAAAGGCUGUAAAACAUGAUGACCUUUUUCUGGUAAAAUAUGAACCGCCUUCGGGUACAUUUCUUCUUUAAAUACCAGCGUUUUGAAAUACGUGGUUAUGGGUACGGUGCAAAUAAAAUAAUAUUUUCAAAUAAUUGACUAUUCAAUACAUCCAAUCAGCUAGCAACUAUGAGAAUUUUAAAUGUUCAUUUGGAUGUAGGUCAAGAGAUUUCUUGAUCUGUAUUUCAAAAAAUUCAGGCUUUUCAGUGGGUUUGUAGGCACUCGUCUCGGAACAUCUUUCGAUCUCCUUCCUCUAAUAUAGAGUAUAAGUAGGUUUAGAAUAAUUCUAUCGUAUUCAAUAAAAAAAAAUACAUCCAAUCAGUCAAAGGUGCAAAUUGCAUAACAUUUUGUUUCAAGGGAUGAAGCACAAAUUAAAUAAAAGUUCAAAAGAAUUAAGUGUGUUUAAACUUAGGGCAAAAAACCUCAACGAUAAAUCAAACUAUUUUUUUUGUUUCGAUUCAACCACUCAACUAACUAAUCGGUCCACUCGUGACUAUUUUGUCGAAUUUUGCUUUUAAUCUACAAGCUAAACGUGUCCACUAAACUUUUCAACUCAAAGAAAAAAAUUUUAACGUCUGCUAAACUGCUCUAAUCAUAUACUUUUAACUGCUCAAUUAUUUUUUUUUAUUCAAAAUGAUCACUCGACUCACAAAUACGUAUAUCAGUGGCCAUUUUGUUCAAAUUCGGUGUUAAAUAUAACAAAAUGAAUGCACAUGCAAAAAAUCAUAAAUCUUAGAUAAGGCAAAAAUCUUAAAUUUAGCCAUUGAACCAUACAAAACAACAUAUUCUUAGUAAUCUUUGUUCAAAUUGGAUACUCAACUCACCAAAAUAGUAUAUUAACGAGUUUUCAUUCAAAAUUUAUCAUUAGAUCUACUAUUUUCAUUCAAAUUUCACGUUCUUGGAAGCAAUACAUAAUAACUUGAAUAUAUAAUUUAGACUUUUUGUCAAAACUUAUAAAUUAGAAUAUAUUAAAGCAACUACUCAUUUUUUAAAUUUUAUUUUUGUUAGUUAAAAAAAAUCAAAACUCUAGCUGAAAAAAAUUUUAAAAUUGAUCAUAUGAAAUUGUCCUUGUUUUUUGUAGAUGAAAUGCACAUAGAGCUCAUUCCGUUAGCGUUCAUAGAAACACUUGACUAAAUGACCUAGUAUGUAGAUUUAAGAGUUCAAUGACUAUAUUGAAAUAAAAAAAAAAAUUUAUUUGAGUGAUCAAAAGUGUACUAGUCAUUGGAGUUUUCGGAUUUGGAUUGAGAAGUUCAGCGGACAUAUUUGAUCUUAAAUUUUGACAUGUGACUUGCAUGUGUUAGGUUUAUUUCGUAAAUUAUGAGAAAAACUCAUGAAAUGACCACAAGUAUACUAAUUAAUUAGUUGAAUGGCUAAAUUGAGAUGAAAAUAGUUUGAUGAUUAAAAACUGAUGUAUAAAAUGGCCACCAAGACCUUUUAUCCUCAAACUGACAAUUUGCAAAUUCUCGUAGUUGCAUUAAAACUGACAAGACAUUUUUACCGUGUUAAAUUAAAAAAAUAAAUAAAUAGAAAAUAGAAAAGCGAUAUGGGUGUAAUGAUUAAAACAAAAACAAAAUAGAUAGUCCCGGUUGCGCUUUCCCUUCCGAUGAGAAUCUAAAGCAAUCAAAUCGUGCAUAUGUUUCUUUAAUUUUAGGAGGGGGCUAAAUUAACGCCUUCCAUGUUGAGUCCAUGUCCUGUACAUUUUACUUGAUAACAAUAAUGGCCUUAGCUUUUAAAGUUUAUUUGAUACUUUUUUUUUAUAAUUUAAAGAAACAUAUUUUUACCUAGGGAAAAUAGGAAAAACAAAAGUUUGCAUUGUAGUGGAGAAUAUUUCCACACAGUUUACAAGUGUAUAACAAUAUUAAUUUCUAAUUUAAAAUAAACUUAGCAACCUAGAACUUUUCAAUUACAAAUAACGAUGUAAAUGGUAGUGUCUAUAUAUUUCAAUUGCAUAAAAUUAAAAUCUAGACAGUUUUCAAGGUGGAAUAUGCAAUCAUAUUGAUUUAAAACAAACGCCUCCAUUUGGUCACAUUUGGUUAUGUAUAAGUGUUAAAAAAAAUUUUAAACAAAAUAAAGGUUGUAGGUAAUAAUAGAAAAAGAGGAAUAAACUGGAGCGGCUUUAGAGAAAAAUAAAUGUUGAAAAAAAAAAAGGAAUUUUAUAUAAAACUCACAAUGAAGUAUUGCAUGUUUUCCUUUCCAAAAUUUUUUUUCCCUCUAGAAAAGAUAUUGCAAUAUUUGAUUUGAUGCUUAAAAGUUAAGGGUGCAAGUAUCUAACGCAUAUAAGAUGUGAAUUUAACCUCUCCCUUAACUUUUUUUAUUACUACUGUCUCUUGUGAAAGUACUUUCAGAGGCAAAAGUACUUCCCAUUUUUUCCCCCCCUUUUCCAUUCUUCUUUUCAUGGACACGCAAAAUAGCCCACAUUCUGAACGCACUUUUAGUUAAAUAUGGCUUUUGAGCAUUUGUUCGACUAUAAAGAAUGAUGCAUUAAUUACCGAUGAAAAGGGGGCUAAUUUCUCAGAUUAUUUGUAUUUAAAAAAAAUAACCGUCAAAUGUACCUCUGACAGGAGUCUUUCUAAUUGUAUAGCGGCCGUGCUGACUCAGCACGGCCCCGUAACUAAAAAUUUGACUAAAUAUUCUCUGCAAAAAAUUCAGUGGUGCCAGUAGAUGCCAGACCGGGACGUGCUGACUGGGCACGUCCGGUCAGACCGAAAACGAACUUGAUCAGAGCAUUUGUCAGCCGGGGACGUGCUUCAAAUUAAAUUCAUCAUUAUUGAAUAUAAAAUAAGAGUUAUCAAAUGACUGAAUGAUGUGGUAAUAUAUGAGUAGAUUUGAAUCAUGAUAUCUUACCAAAAAAGGACUAUAAUAGUUUAUAAGCAAAUACACAUAACCUAUUUGAAGUAUCGGCUCUUUACAGAUAUUUUAUUUUCAAAUAUUUAAUUUAUGAUAAAUAUAUUAACAUUUGUAAUUAAAAAUUAAAAAGUGUUAAAAUAAUAUUCUUGCAAAAAAAAAUCAGUAGGUUAUCUAUUUAAUAUAAAUUAAAUAUUUUUUAAAAAAUAAAUGGCCUCAUAAACUAUUAAUUUUUUAUGACUUUCAUCCAUUACAUGAGUAAAGUAUUGGCUCUUUAUGGAUAUUUUAUCUUGAAUCAUUUAAUUUAUGUUAAAUACAUAAAUAUUUAUAACUAAAAUUGAGAAAGUGUUAUAUUAAUAUUUCUACGGAAGAAAAACUGGUAGGUUUUGUGUUUAACAAAAAUUAAAUAUUUGAGAGUAAAUACAAAUCUGUAUUUGAGAAUAAAUAUUUGUGAUAAAGUAAAUAUUUGAAAAUAAAAUUCAUGUAAAGAGCCGGUACUUUAAAUAGGCAAUACGUAUUUGUCUAUAAACUACGCUCGUUAAAGUUUAUUAAUUGUUAAUUAAUUUGUAAUACUUUGCCAUUCAUUAGACAUGUAGCACAAAGGACAAAUCAGGUACAAAAUUCUAAUUUCACUCUCUAAAAUAAUAUUUUAAUAAUUUGGACUGAAUUUGUAAAGGAUUAGUAACCUCAGGGGAGGUCAGUGUAAUUGUUCAAACCACAGGGGAGGUAAGUAUAAAUGUCAGAAACCUCAGGGGAGGUUUCUGAAAUUAUCCCAAAAGAAAAAGAAAAGUUAGUACUAUAGAAUACAUUCUAUUCCAUGUCCAAGCAAACCCUUGAACAAUAGAGGUGCAAAGGCGUUUCUUCUGUGUCUCAAAUCUCAUCAGCUGGGAUUCUCUAGUAAUAUUCCCUAGCUCCUCCCGAUCCAUCGGAGCCAAUACGCUCAGUGCCGGAUCCCUAUUUUACACCAAUUCGCCGGUAAACCUCCAUUCCUUCCCCCCACUGAUUUCCUUUUAUAUCUACUUUUUUGGGUUCAAGAUCUAUAUAUUGAAUGUGUAGAUCUUUCCCGUAGAUUUAGGUGUCUUAAACUUUGUCUAAAUUAAGUUCAUGAAUAGGGAAUUUCAAUUCGGAUUAGAUGACAUACCAGUUGUAAUCGAUUGUACGUUCGGAAACACGGAGAUCUUUAUAAAUUCAGGGGUUGGAAUAUUUUUUGCGGGCUACAACUAGAUCAUGCUUAGACGGAAAACUGGUGAAUAAUUGAUCAUUUGCUGCUCAAGAUAGUUGUUGAUUUUAGGCUUACUUAUCUUAUAGCUUAGGGGCUUUAUCCGUCUUUGGUUUCAUUUCUUUUAUUUAUUUAUUUUGGUUUGAGUAAAACGGUGAAAAAGUGUUCACAGAUUCUUUCUUCGUUUUUUGUUUAAUGGACAUAAUGUAUUUUAUCCUCAAGGGCAUGAGGUAUUUGUGGGACGUGAAUUGUUUAGAUUAAUCUAAUGAUCAGAAUGGAACAUCUGAUUCCAGAUUAAUGUCUACAAUGAAACGUAUAAUUGCGGAUUCAUGAUAAUAUUCAUUCGUCUUUCUGGGGAUUGAGAUAACUGGAUGUCAUUGGGUUAAACUGAUUUUCACUGUUUCUUUUUUCUGUCAUUAGGAUGAUGACACUAUUGCUUAGGGCUUUUCAUUUUGCCAGUAAUUUAAGUUCACAAAGCAUUCUUCUGUCUACUUUGUCCAUCCGUGAGCUUGUACCUUUCAUUGUACUCCUUUUCAGGCAUACAUCGAUAAUUAGUGCCAAUUAAUGACCACUGUCACAUGACCAUGAGUUUCAGCAAAGUAUCCACAUUGGAUAGGAUUUUUGGUUAAAUCAGUUUCUAGUAUUAUAGUUCAAAUUUGCUAGCCUUUCAGAUUUUUUUCGAGCACUUGUAAUUUUGAACAAAAAAUGCACAUUUGAUUUUGAUCUGUAAUUACAGGAGCAGAUAGCAGCUGUACAAGUGUGACUUAGAGGAGGUUGCAGACAUAAAAAUCUAGUGCUAAAUUAAUCAAGAGGUAAUAACAUAAUGCCGGCACAGAAGAUUGAAACGGGUCAUAAUGACACGGUUCAUGAUGUUUCUAUGGACUACUAUGGAAAACGAGUUGCAACAGCUUCAUCUGACUCCACCAUAAAGGUUAUUGGUGUGAGUAACAAUAAUACUUCCCAGCACCUUGCCACUUUGAGUGGUCAUCAAGGUCCUGUUUGGCAGGUUGCUUGGGCACACCCUAAAUUUGGCUCACUUCUUGCAUCUUGUUCCUAUGACGGUAAGGUUAUCAUCUGGAAGGAAGGUAAUCAAAAUGAGUGGUCACAGGCUCACGUGUUCAGUGACCAUAAGUCAUCAGUCAAUUCUAUUGCAUGGGCGCCACAUGAACUUGGGCUCUGCUUGGCUUGCGGAUCCUCUGAUGGAAAUAUUUCAGUGUACACAGCUAGGUCGGAUGGUACCUGGGACACCACAAGAAUAGAUCAAGCUCAUCCCGUUGGAGUGACCUCGGUUUCAUGGGCUCCUUCAACAGCUCCUGGUGCUUUAGUUGGAACAAGUAUCCUUGACCCUGUUCAGAAGCUAGCAUCUGGUGGUUGUGACAAUACUGUAAAGGUCUGGAAACUGUAUAAUGGCAUUUGGAAGAUGGAUUGCUUCCCCGCUCUUCAGAUGCAUGCUGAUUGGGUGAGAGAUGUUGCUUGGGCGCCCAAUUUGGGGCUUCCAAAGUCCACCAUCGCCAGUGCUUCACAAGAUGGUACUGUUGUCAUAUGGACCGUAGCUAAAGAAGGUGAUCAAUGGGAAGGUAAGGUUUUGAGGGACUUUAAGACCCCAGUCUGGAGGGUCUCAUGGUCUCUUACUGGAAAUUUGCUGGCUGUGGCUGCUGGAGACAACAAUGUCUCCAUGUGGAAGGAAGCUGUUGAUGGGGAGUGGCAGCAAGUCACCACUGCUGACCAAUAGAUUUCAGAUUACUCUGUUUUGGUACUUUUGUUGGACGACCAGUUCCAUAGUUUUUAUUUCUUUCUGAUUUUGUUUGAGUGGGUGUCAUGUGAUUACUAGCAGCAUUGAGUUAGAUUAUAUGAAAGGAAUUGAAAGUUUGAACCAUUUCUCAUGCGCAAUUCAUUUGUUUAAUGAUCUGAUUGAUAUUCUCGCGAUCAAAGUUGUUGUGGCUCUAUCCUUAAUAGUUUUGGGGGCCUUUCCUUUUUGGUUUGGUCAGUGCGCUGUACCGUCGGCUGGAUGAAUUCGAUUACAAUUGUUUUUGGGCAUAUAGAUUUAUUAAUUCAGAGCAAUUGACUGGCUCUCAGUGAUAGGAGAACUUAUUGGCCGAUGCACAUCUCUUUAGCAGUUGCAAGCGAUGCCGUUAUUGAUUGUUCGAAGCUGUAGACUGUAGCGUUCCAUGUAACUUUUGAAAUCAACUUUUAUCAUACAAAAACCACGACUUUGUGUCUCUUAGAAAAGCGAAUCAGAAAGGAAAGCGCAUUCCUAAAAGCUAAAACUGAGAGGGUAUAUGCUACUGUUACUGGUAAAAAGCGUGACUCGCGAGGCCGCUUUGGGUUUAGCGCGCUUAGGUUCCAAUUUGAAAAAAAAAAAAAGAAAGCAGCAAAGGCUUUUUCCCCGCCCGAAUCAUAAGGGAAACAAAAGAAGAUGAACAAAGGAAAAGGGAGAUGCCCCCUCGGCCCUCCCUGCUUCAAAUCCUCAUUCUCAAACGCUCCUCUGCAAUCACAUUCUUGUCUUCGGAGACAUUAUGAAUAGCGAGCGUUUGCCCGCCAUGGAACUUAUCAUUUCCUUGUUCCUUUUCAACUUUUCUGUCUCUUACUUGUACAGAUGCGUAUCCCUCCUCCUCAAUCUUGAUUCAAUGACAGCUUGUAUUCGGCGUAAAGGAAUGUGGUCCUCGCAUGCCUCUCGUGAUUCCGAAAGCAAAAAACCCUCCAUUUUAUUGCCGCAGAGAGAAAUCCCUUAGCGCCUUAUGCUCCAAGUAUGCACCAGUACUAUAUCUUCUGCUCACGUGAUCAUCGUAUAGAACUAAUUUUGCAUUUUUUUUUUCUUGUUCUCAAUAACAGCUUCUUGAAGCAGUACAGCAAAGACGGUGUUGACUCCACUGGAGUAGAUCAUGCUGCCUUUCAAUUAGGCAGUCUUGUAUUCAUCUCCUACGUUUUCAGUUUUUCCACUCCAUUUUUUCGUUUUCCUCUUUCGUCUCCAGGUAAAAAUACAGACGGACCGAAAGACCUUUUCUUCUGAAUGUGAUGGUAUCGCCUCUUUAUGCGGUUGUUUGCAGGUGUUGAGCGGAGGCGGUUUAUGAUGUCGUCAAUAUACUGGAGAGUGUUGGGGUAAUUCUUUUCAAUCUAACUGGUUUAUUCGUAUUUCUUUCGCUGAUCUAAGCUGGAGUUUUUUUUUUUUUUUUUGUAAUUUGAAGGUUUUAACUCGAAAAGCUAAGAACCAUUACUCCCGGAAGGGUUUCUGAUUUCAAAACACCAUAGCUUGACUUUUAUUGAGAAUAAUAAUCGAAAAUCCUUAGCAGUACACUACAAAGGCUCGAGUUACAAACAUGUAUUGAAAAGUGAUUGUGUCCGCUUUUAUUAGUGUUGUUUUCUUUUUUUCUUACCAUGGCUUCUACUUUUGAUUGAUUUUGAGUAUGGGUGCAGGUUUCGACUCUUGAGGGCAAAUGAGGAGAGGCUUGAUCAAGGUAGCCAAGUACUAUUCAUUAACGGAACGUAAAGCAAAUUCCAGCCACCGAGAGAGCCAUUAAUCCACACUGUUAGCUGGCUGAAAGUAAGCAAAUUCCUCCAUUUCACUCCUGUGGUGUUUCAUCUAUUUCUUGAAGGAGAGACUUAGAUUAAUUCCAGUAUAACAUGACAGCAUUUCGUUAUAUCAGAAUACUUGUACCAUCCUGGAAAUUGUAAAGGAACUGAAGAUCGACACAUUUUGUUAGUAUGAUCAAUAUACUAAACAGCUAUCCAAGGCAACCAAAAUUGAUGAGGAGUUAGGGCAAACUUUUCACUCUAUUGGCCCAACAUUGAAAAAGGUUUAACUACCUGUACACACCAUUUUCCAUUGUUUCUUGGAGAAUUUGCCCACUUCAAAUACUUAAUAUUCCAGUAUUGGCAUUCCUAAGGAUCAAUGCUCGCCUAGGCCCUCUAAUGUUGACCCACAGAAUCAAGUGUAAUACAUAUGUAAAGAGUAUCCUAAUUAGCUGACCCUAUCUUUCCUUUGAUUUAGUUAAUACUUUCAUUAACCAUACAUUUACAAUAAACCGGACACCCUCAAGCCACAAUUCAACCUGUCUUCCAUUAAGAUUUCACUUGUAAAUUAACCAAUUGACCCGCAAAAUUACACGUCUAAGAUACUGGUAAACUGAAACAGAAAAAAAAAAAAAAGUAAUUUGAAUCGCAAGUAUAUCGCCUUGAAACAGGGUUGAACACAGCCAAAAACUUAUUUCACUAAUCAAGAGCCUCCAAAGAGAAAUGGAGCAUUGCAUGUUGUCAACAAAAUGAAUUUAACAAAAAAUGGCAGAGUAAUGCUUUAGUGCAUUUAUUUCAAAAUUACAUCAAAACUCUAAAUAUGUUUGGUUUUAGAACCCAUGGUAUGUAAAUGUUUUGCCCUCGCAACCAAUAACAAUCAGUUGCCAAUAAAAUGAUGGAGAACUAUCAGUUAAAAAACAACUGUGAAAAUAAGAGAGGACUCUCAAAUCUGCGGUUUUGAGAAGAAAUUGUUGACAGAAGGCAUGAUCUGGGGAGCCCUAUUACGAACGAACUUUCUGAGAGCAUGUUCAGCGUAUUUCUCCCCUUCUGCAUGGUUUUCAAGAACUCCAGCAGCUCUGUUCUCCUUGGUCACCCUUGAUUUCCAUAGACACAAAGGUCAGUAACAAAUCAAGUACAUUUAGAUGUUGCAUUAGGGGAAGGCCCCGUAAGUAUGUUUUAAGUGCAUGGAUGAAGUAUAUCCAUGAUAUGGCAAGAUGAAGAUUCCAAUUUACUUUCACAGGCAUGCAGCAUACUGCAAAUAAGCUAAGGAUAAAAGAUUACAUUCAAAAUGCACAUGUUUUCUGAGAAGAAAAUCGCUGCUUUCUGCAUUACUCUUAUGAACAAACACACAGAGCGAGGUACAAAACCAAACAGGGCAAUAUAAUUCAAACAUCAUUCAUCAGCCACUCGCCCAUUUUUGUUACAAUAGUGAAAAUGAUCCUGCUUGCUCAAGGUAAGGAAAAGAGUGCUUAAGCGCAGCAAUUACAUUGUGAUACACAAACAUCCAGCAAAAGAGAGAGAAGGGGGGCUUAUUUUUUUUGGAGAGGGGGGUGUGUGUGUUCAGAAGAGGGGCUUCGAUCUGUGUGUGAAUUCUCAGUGAAGCUUUGAUAAAAUAGAACAUGAAGCAAACCCAAAGAAAGCUUUGAUUUAGCAAAAGAAAGCCUUCGUGUAGAGUUUUUAACGAAACAAACAACUAUCAAUAAAAUUGCUAGAUCUUAUCCGGGAAGAUCCCCAAAACCUAAUGCUAAAUCUGGAUUUAGCAGUCAAAUUUUGAUUUCGACAAUUUUAGGAUAUAGGAUUUAAUUAAUAUCCAUAAGGCCUCCCUGUUUAAUUGUUCUUUUGCAAAAUGAAAUGCCUUCAAGCAUACGCGAUGUUCUUCUCGCAUUUGUAAAUGUUAUCUCUAAAGCAGUAGACGAUAAAGGAUACAUGAAUUUAGAUGAUAAAAAUGAAAAAUUGAGGUACUCCAUAAAACAGCAGUACACCUAAGCGUGGCAAUGGGGCGGGGGACCCCUCCCCCGACAGGGUUAAAAAAAUUUUGUUAUAUAAUUUUAUUAUAAUUAAAUUUUAGUAAAUAAUUAAGUAUUAAAACAUCAAUAUAUCACCAAAUUAUUAUUCAUUGUAACUUCACAAUUAAAAUUUAUAAAAAUAAUUAAAUAAAAAUUAUUUGAAUACAAUAUAAUAUGAUAAAACAAAUAUAACUAAAAUAAUUAAGUUUUCACUUUUGAUACAAAUACAAUCACUGAAUUAUUAUUGUGUUUUUUUUUUAGAAAAAAUGUUAUUGUAUUACGUGUAAUUAAGAAUUUAAUAUAAAUGUAUUAAUAAAUUUAGUAUAAAUAAUUAAUAAUUUUUAUUAAUAGACAUAUAUAAUUAGUAUAUCAAUUAUAUUACAUAUACUAAUAUAUAUUAAAUAAUAUAUAUAACUACUAAUAUCAUUAUUAUAAAUUUAUAAUUACUUAAAUUAAAUAUUAUAUAUAUAAUUAUGUACAUAUAUAUAUCUUAAUUUUUUUAAACGGGUGACGAGGCGGGUAGUAUUUCCCAUCCCCGUCCUGUUUCCAAACCGAGGGGAUUUUUUGGGGGGGGGGGGGUCGGGGGGGCAGAGAAUUCCCGUCCUCCAAUAGCUCCCCACGGCCUCCGCCCCUCUUGCCAUCCUUAAGUACUUCUAAACUUCUUACAGUUUAGGACACAAUUGAACAUUUAGCUAAAAUUCCAGAAAUGAUGAAAAAUAAUAAUAAAGACAUAAUGCACCAUCAAAAAAUACGUUUGUUUGUCAGAGAGAGGAGGAGAGCGACUGUAGGGUAUAAUUAUGAGUAUCAUACCGGACUUCCGGGUUGAUGCAGAUGUUGCGGAUCAAUUGCGCCCCGCAAAUACCGACGGCCACCCCAACUGCUGCGAACAGCGGAUAUACCUGCAACCACACACACAAAUACAUAUACGUAACAUACCGCUCACCCAUCAUACCAAAUCAAUCGCCAGAUCUAAUUAUAAUACUCCUAACAAAUCCAUGAGAAUCGCCUAAAUUGCUAUGUACUAGUAAAACAAAAAGAUCAAAUGGAGAAGCCAAAGAUCUAGCGGAGCAAAAAGUUAGAGAGAGAGAGAGAGAGAUCGGACCUCGGGCCUAAGCCAUCGGUUGACGGUGGAUGACGCCAUAGGAGACCAGAAAACCGCUGUGUACACCGAAAUUUUGCUAACAACUCUGGGUGGAAAUACGAACCCACGCAUCCACCCCAAAACCAGCUAAUAUAGGCCUUUGCGGCGGCGCUGACAAGUACGCGCUGUACCUUUUUGUUUUAUUUUAUUUUGAUAGAGUAGAAUUGUAUUAAAAUUAAAUUAAAAGUUAAUCUUAUACACCACAUGUCAUUAGAUGCAUAGAGACUAAUUUAAAUUUGAAUUUAAAAUUUAAAAAAUAUACGUGUCAUACAGUCAAAUCUUUUGCACACUAGUGUUUUUAAAUCCAAACCAAAAGCCAAACUGAUUAUAAGUUUCUAAAAAUUGGAUGAUUUCAGCAUAGCAUCAUAAGUAUAUUAUAUUAUAUACUAAUUAAAUAACAUGAAAAAAACACUUAUGUAUGUAUAUAAUGUAACUAACAUGGAGAAAAAAUUACCUAUAUUUCUGUCACUCUAUUUUUUGUUUAUCCUUCUUCUUACAAUUCUAAAAUCCUUAAAUUUGACUCCAAUUUAAUAUUUUAAGUUUUAAGCGCAAGUUAACAAGUCUACAACAAAAUCAUAAAGACGGGCUUGAAAACAAAUACCAAAUUAAGUUUGCAAAAACAAAUAAUGAAGAAAUGUUUUUGAAAUAGUUAUGAUUAUCCAAAACAUUUAGUGCUUAGAUUUAUAAAAGUUCGCUUCAAAUCAUUCGUCCCCAAUUUUGUCUUUGUUGUGUCUAUCCCAUUUUAGUUUGUUUAUGUUAGUUUUUUUGGAGCAUACACUAAAAAACAACAUCUUAGUGAUGCCAAAAAAAAAUUUAGAAGAGACUUGUAUUGAAAGUAGAAAAUGAGCUUAAUGUUAUUUAUUAAUCAACUCACUAUUUAUAGUGAUUGCACGAAACAAACUAACAAAAUAUUCAUCUAACUAUUAUUCUAAAAAUCUCAAUAAAAUAUAAUCUUCUUUUACUAGCAAAUCUGAGCUAAAAUAUUUGUUAACAAACCAACAUGAUCUUUAGUUAACAAAUAUCCUUAUUUUUCUAAUAACUAAAUUAUUUUGAUAUCAAAUAUAAUCUAGCAAAAUUUGUAGGAAAAGUUUACAUAUUUCAACAGUUUAAUUGUCACGUGUACUAUGCUGAUAAAUUUAUUUUCUAAUAUAAUCUUAAGAGUUAUUGAUUGUAUAACUUAUCCACAAUAGAAUUGUAAAAGUUACAAGACAUGACAUAUGAAAUUCGGGACAAACGAUUUUAAGUAAAAUUCAGUAAUGUGUUUGGAUUGUAAAUUAUUACAUCUUAUUUACACAUAUUAACUUGAUUGCAUCAUCAACAACUUUUUUUUUUAAAUCUUUUUUUAUCUCACAUAUAUUAUAUCAAAAUAAUAUCAUAAUAUAUUUUUUCAUAAAAUCAUCUCAAAUAAUUUACUAUCCAAACACACUCACUUAUUUGGAAAAAAAAAAAAAGCAAAGGGUGAUUGCGUAAAUAACGUCAAUACGAGUGACACUCAAUUGACCAAGUACAAAAAGCAAACAAAUCCCCAAACUAAAAAUUGGUGGGCAGAGAGAAAAUGAGAAAUCCCAAUCCAUCCGAGAGGGGCUAAUCUGAAAAACAGACAGCCGCGUGAGUGGGAGUUCUCCGCCGCCGGAUGCCACACAAUUUUUUUACAAUUGCGGAAACAGCUAUGAGAUAAUACCUCAAAGGACCUCUAUUAUUAUAUAUCUCCAGCUGCUUCUCUUGGAAAUUCUUUUAUGGCAGCCUCAACAGCUAGGGUUUUCUUAGUCUAUCCGGCCACCCACCUCUCCCUCAGGCCUUAUCACCACCACCACCACCACCAACAACAACUUCUUCAACGGCUUCAACCCCCUCCUCAACCGCCACCCCCUUCUUCUGCCGACCUCCACCUCCUCAUCCGACCGUGGCUUCCGUCCAUCCUCCCCUGUAAGCGUAGGGGAUUCUCGUCGGCUUCCUCAUCCGCCGUCAGCUGCCUAAUUUCCGGAGUGGACGGCGGUGGAGUCUCUGACGAUUUCGUCUCCACUAGGAAGUCUGGAUUCAGCCGCGAAUUCUCCGUUAUCGCCAACAUGCUCAAGCGAAUUGAGCCACUCGACGCCUCCGUCAUCUCCAAAGGUGUAUCCGACUCCGCUAAGGACUCGAUGAAGCAGACCAUUUCUAGUAUGCUGGGCCUGCUCCCAUCCGAUCAAUUUUCCGUCACCGUCUGGUUUCCCAAACGCCCUCUCGACCGCCUUAUCGUUUCCUCCAUAAUUACCGGGUAAUUGCUUUAAUCUUCGCUCUCUAAUUGAUUACAAAUACUUUUUGUUUCCAAAGCUGAACUUUGAACCGCUUAGUGAUUCCAUUGGGCGGCGAAAUGUUAAUUCAAAUUGGCUGGUCCAAAUUAUUCAGGUAUACUUUGUGGAAUGCGGAGUAUCGGAUUUCGUUGAUGAGAAAUUUUGACAUAACUUUGGAUAUCUCCAAAGAUUAUCAACAUUUGGAGGUGAAUGGGGUUUCAGAGCUGAAGGGAAAACAGAGUGAAGGAACGGAAGGUAUAGCUAGAGUGGACGGUUGUGCGGAAGUUUUGGAUAGAAAACAGGGGGAUAGCCUCGGAAAUUUGUCUCCUGAAGUUGUGGAAUACAUUCAACAAUUGGAGUCAGAGCUGUCUAGUGUUAAACAGGUGAUGGGUUUUUCAUUUUUCUCUCCUUUUAAUACAAUCAUUUCACGAGUUUUGAUUGCAGUCAUCAUGGAAAUUACAUAUACACAGUCCACCGGUUUGUUGUUUGAGGGAAAUUUGAGUGCUUCGUAUGUCAUUGUUAGAUUAUUGGGAGUUUCGAAUUAUAUGAUUCGUGAUGUUCUUGGAGUUUACAGCAGCAUGAGCUUGUAAUGGAACUUAAUUUGACAUAGUAGCACUUAUUCUCUUAGGUAAUGACUCAUCCUCAUAUUGGCCAUUUAGAUGUUUGAAGCUCUUUGAACAGCUGAAAUUAUAUUCUUUAAAGUUGGAAUGAUGGUUUUACCUUCAGGUAGUUGUUUUUUUUUUCUUGGAAUAUGAUAAAAUUCGGAGAAAGUCGAGUCGUGUUAUUUGAAAUAGUAACUGUAAUUUGUUUUGUUGAUUAAAUUUUCUGUGCUGUCUCAGGAACUUCAUGCCCGUAAACAGGAAAAUUUGCAAAUGGAGUACGUCAAAAGGAGCAAUAAUGAUCUAUUAGAGUACUUGAGGUCUUUGGAUUCUGAUAUGGUAAUUAACUUAUCAGCUGGCCAAUUGUAUUUGCAAUCCGUCCUUACCACUGCACUCUUGUGAUGGUCGCUGUUGCUAAUGCGUAGUCAUAUUUUGGCUGGACAGGUUGCUGAAUUGUCAAGACCUUCAUCUUGGGAAGUGGAAGAUUUCAUUCACCAACUUGCACAAAAUAUAUUGCAAAGAUUUUUCAAAGAUGAGAUUACUUCCAAUGCUGGAGGGGAUUUUAGUCUAGCAAGUAUAGAAAAUUAUGAUAAUGGCAAUGAAUGUUCUGAUACAAUUGGCACUUCGCGGGAUUACUUGGCUAAGCUUCUUUUCUGGUAAGUUUUUUCUGGUUUUUCUUCUUUCUAGUGACUUGAGCGUUUUGUGGUUUACUGAGUAGUCUUAACAGGAAAAGCGUGCUAGUUACCUGAAAUAUAGAUUCACAGUAAACAUUCCUUUGCAAUGGCAGGUGCAUGUUGCUGGGACAUCAUUUAAGAGGGUUGGAGAAUAGACUGCAUCUAAGUUGUGUUGUCGGUUUGUUGUAAGUAGGAGGGAAUGUACAUUCUGGUUGGAGAAUAGACUGCAUCUAAUCUAAGUUGUGCUGUCGGCUUCUUGUAAGUAGGAGGGAAUGUACAUUCUUCUUUUUUCUACUUCCUCUUUGUCAAAUUUUGUGUGAUCUUUUAUAUCAUUUUGUAUCAGCGGAAACAAGUUACGUAGUGUCAUGUGUAAGUUCAUAUGGAUAUCUAUUACCUUGUAUGUAAAAGAAUUGCAGCGAAGCUGGUGCUAAGGUCUCAACAUUUCUAUUUUCCCUGGCUACGGAUAUGAAGUCAUUCGUUUGAAAUUUGAGUUGAUAAAUACGAUAAUUUAUGUGCUUUGGAAUUGGGAACUCUCACUUCCAUUUGUCCUUGGCAUCUUUGUUGGCAUUUGAUAACCAAUUUGUUAGAAUUUAGAGCACAAAUUAAGAAAUAGCACUAGUAGUUAAUGCUGCAAAAAAAUGGUUUGUUAUAAAAUCUUAUAUUGACGGACUGAGAAAACUUUGAAUUUUUCAUUUACGAGGUCUCUAUUUAUAAAAUAUACAAGAAAGAAACAGUCAUCGUGCUCGAAUCAAAGAAUUCUUUAUUGUCCAAAAGACCAAAAUUCACUGUAUUGAAGUACAUCUCGGUUGGUUCCGUCUACCAUUUUGGCUCGCUUAACGGGCAAACAAAAGGACUGCUCUGCAUCGAAAAUUUCUCAUACAGGGAAGCCAACAAAUCUAUUCGCUGAUGUAUCCAAAUACCAUCAGAUUGCCCAGUAUUAUAUAUACAAAAGAAUUGUCGAAUAUGAAUGUAUCAAGGGACAAAGUAACAAAUGAACCAAUAGAAAAUGAAAAAAAAAAAAAGAAAAAAGAGAAAGAACUAAAAAAUUUGCAUCAGGUCACCACCGUGCGCGGCGGCCGUUGUGGCCACGUUGCCUAUACAAAUCAUGGGGUUCCCAUAGAUGAUCUACAGGACAUGGCCUUCUUUCGUCAAGCCUCACCCAUGGCUUUCCCUUUCCGCUCCAAUGCAGCAAACUAACCGGACCAGGGUGCAAUGACCUACAACUGUUUACCACAUUGUCCCCGCCAAGGCCGUGUUGAUUCCAUCUGUCAUCAAUCGCGUGAACCUCUCCGCCGAAAACCAGCAAGAAAGGUGGUAACGAACCCAACUCGUAUAUCCGCGUCUCCCUCUGUAUCUCCAUCCAUUUCUCAAUCUUCCCAGUAAAGUCUCCCCUCCGCCACUUGUCUAAAUCCAUGAUCAUCACCCCUGUAUUGAAAUAACACGGUUUCUUUCCUCGGAAAGUCUUUGAAAAAUCUGGUCGAACCCAGAACUGAUUGGUGAAAUAUUUGGUGAAGUUGGCAUGACAGUACUGAGGAGCACCAAUUACUGUAGAACCGGUCAGAGCUGUUGACCACAGUUUCUGGAUGUCAUCGACGACGAUGAUGUCAGAAUCCAGGUAAAUCACUCGGGAUACACAUGGGUCGAUGAUUUCAGCCAAGUAGCUUCUUGCGUAGUUUAAGGGGUUAUCCAGAGCUUGACGAAUGGAAGAGGAUAUCAAAUUCUUAACACGGUCGGAAGAGUUGAAAGGAUAAACCUUGAAAGCCAGGGACGGAAAGAUGGAUCUUAGGAUUGUAGCGAAUUCGUCAGGCGUAGGUGAAGAGCCGGCGGCACUGGAAGCUGGAUCUGCGACGAAGUGAAAGAAAAUGUUUUCCGGGCAAGAAGCAUGCCUGAGUAUGGAGUUAACUGCUGCCACGGAACCUCUAAAGUAGACAGAAUCAAGCGUCAUGGCCACGUGAACGAGGAAAGGACGACAAACACCCAUUUCCCCCGAGUCUCUCGGAGCUGAGAUUUGACACUGGUCUCCAUUCCUAUACACGGGUGCUUCACGGUAUCCCGGCGAAGGGUUGGCAUCUAGUUUUGUGGGGAACGAUCGGCUGGCAAGCGUUGGUAAAAGCAGCAGCGAAACUAGCACAAAAGAGGAAAUGAAUCUGCAACGGACCAUGCCAGCUAGAUGGAUGCUCUUGCUCUGUGGUCUGUUCUCGACUCGUUGUGAAGAUGGUAAUUGGUCUCUGGACUCUGCGCUACCCAAAAAGGUUAAAAAGCAUAAAAACAGAAACGCGUAUUAGUAGUAGGAGUGGAGUCAGUGCCAGCACAUGUUUCUUGUUGACAAGGAAGAUACUUCUACUACCCUACUAUGAAUUUGAAAAUGAACAGAAACGCGUUGCCGAGUUUGAUUUGAUGAUGAAGAGGCUGAGUUUUUGUACCAAUAACAAUAAUAAGAAUAUAUAUAUAUAUAUAUAUAUAUAUAUAUGUAUUGAAUCUUCAAAGUUGCAGCUGCUUUGGUUGGCUUCUUCCAUUUUAGGAACCUGAAGGAAUGUUGGUUAGUUCACGCAUUUUAAUUAAUUACGCACGUGCUCUGAUUCUCCGCUAAAAGUUUUCUUUCUUCCUUUUGUUUACUUGAAGAAAUUUUAAAAUAUUUUGAAAAACAAAAACCAAAAAAAAAAAACCCGAAAAAGAUAUAUAUAUAUAUAUAUAUAUUUUUUUUUAAAAAAAAGGAAGCAGAGAAGAAGAAGCAUGUCUGCCCACCUUCGACCGUGCUUCCGACCAAACACACACACACACGCACACUUGGGAGGUUUGACCGUUUAAUCACUUGUAUUGUAAGACCAAUGAUUAUAGGAGUAAGUACAUGGCAAGAUAAACUAUUAUUAUUAUUGUGUCCUGAAUUUGACUUGAACUCUUCAAAACAUUAGAGUUGAAUGCUUCUUUUUUUUUUUUUUUUACCAACUUAUAUGCUUCAAGUAAAUGAGAAAAGAUUUUUGUAACAGAACCAGAAAAAAGCAUGCUUUGAAUUUUAAAACACACACACAUUUUUUUGGUAACAAAUGAUGCCCUGGCUUUAAUUAAUUAUGUGAGAGUCCUGGAGGAGGGACGGAGCCGUUAGCCGCUCAAAACACUUUGAGAUCCUCGGUGACAUGUUUUCUAUGACAAUCCAAUGCCACCAAUAGUAUUGUGCCAAGUGUCAUGUUAUUAUUUACCCUUGUGUUAAAUCAAGCCAAAUUAAAUUAUUAGAACCCAGCUGUUGGGUAGAAAUUAACUAAUGCCCAUGGGACUUGGUGCUCCAUUAGUCUUGUUUGAUAAUUCAGUUAAUCACUUAAAAAACUCAAUGAGUUUAUAUUUUGACGUCUUUAAAUCUGUUCAAUAACAUAAAAUAAAACAUAUAAAUUAAUUAAGUGACACUUAAUUUUCUAAGCAAAACUUAUUUCAAAAAAUAAGUGAUAAACUAUUCAUUAGUUUAACGGAUCUAGAUUUUAAUUCUCAGAUGCACGCUUAAAUUCAUUCAUAAGUCUUAGGUUCCGUUUGAUAAAACUGAAUCUGAAUACUGAAACAAUUUAUUUGCUGAAUUUUAAGUAUUGAAAAGAAAUAUAUGGAUGUCUGAAUUUUAAUGUUAAACCUAUUUAUACUGUUUGAUAAGCAUUUAUAACUGAAUGCUUAAUAAGUUUAAUUUGACAAAUUUGCCCUUACAUCUUUUCAUCAAAAAAAGAAAUAGAACUUAUGAUUUAAUUAGCUAAAUAUGUUAGGUAUGAAAAUGACAAUAUUUACUUUUAAAUCAAAUUAAUAUAAAAGACGAAAUAUAUUAUAUGAGGAGUAUGGAGAAGAUGUAAAAAUCAUUCAAAAGGAAGAAAAAAGAAAUAGAAAACUAUUAGAUAGAGAAUAUUAGAUUGUUUAAUUAGAUAAGAAUUUUGAACAUAAUUAACAAACAAGGAUAGAUUUGAUAGAUAAAAUAAGGUAAUUGAAAUAAUUCUUUUUAUUCCUAUCAGAAUUAAGCAUUCAAUUAAGAUUCUUGUGCUGAAAAAAAUGCACACAAAUUCAGCACUACUUAAUAAAUUCAGCAAAUAAAUUUUCAUUUAUUAAACACUCAAAACAUCUGAAUGUCUGAAAAAAUUUAGAUUCAAUACCUUUUUAUGUUAUCAAACAAACCCUUAAACAACAUUCGCCAGUACAAAACCCACGUGCAUAAUGUUCUUCUUCCUUUUUUUUUUUUUUUUCGAGCCAGGGGCAAGGGGGAAGAGGGGGGGGGGGGGAUUGGGUUUACAUAUUAAAAAUUGUUACGGUUGUUAUUACCUUCAAAAAAUUUGUCAUUUCCUUGUGGUAACUCAUUGUGGAUCUAAAUUCAUGAAAGUAACCACCGAGGUAUCAUCUGCAACAGGAAUAUUUUAUAACUCCCAACAAAUCCUUAGACAAUUUUGUCAGUGUCGUAAUAGAACUUCCAUUACAAAACUUUAAACCUCCUGUUUCAUCACUGUUUCUUACAUAAGGCCAACACAGUGACAGAAUAACAACUGCCAGAAAAAUUGUUCCAGAUAUAAUAGGGACUAGACUACUACACCCAGAACCAGAACCAGAACCAGAACCAGAACCAGGUAGGUAAACUGUAAAAUAUAACAAUGACAGACAGCAGGUCUCUUAUGCACCCCCUUUCUGAGAAGAAAAAAAUGCAAAUACAGGUGAAAUAAACACAGGAUCUACACAUUCAAGAACAUGGGUUAAAACCCCCUAUGUACAAACUACGGCUCACAAGCCCAUCAUACUCUUC
rnacentral:lncRNA from 1 species